rnacentral:lncRNA from 1 species
UUUUUUUUUUUUUUUUUUUUUUUGGGUAUUGAAGGAUGGAUAUGGAUGCAUGAUGUAGUAGUAGUAGCUAUCUAUCAAUCAAUAUAGUAGCAGUUAGUUGUAGAGAGUAAGCAAGUAGUAUCAUGUAGUGUUGUUUUUGUGUGUCCCGUGGUUCAAGGCAUGCUUUAAGAAAGGUUGUCUAUUUGUGCCCUUUUUAAUGAUUUCAUUCAAAACCACAUUGAUGAGACUGAGAGGCGUGGGGAGGGGGGGGGGAUCCCGGUGGUGGUGGUGGUGGGGGGCUUUGUGGGUUGGGUGGUGGAGGGAAAUCUGACUCUGACGACUUGUUUGUUUGUUUGAUUGGCUUUGCCAAUUGAAUUGAAUUAGUAUUGAUGGCAGUUGUGUUAGGGGGGGGGACGAAGAUGGCAUAUUGAUGAAUGUGUCUGGAAAAGUGAGGAACCCUUUUAUGACCACCAAUUAUGAGUACACACGGGCCAAGUACAUUCUUCAUUAUUGAUGAUGAUUCCUAACGUUGCUGGGGGCACGUGACUUCUCACGUGACCUGCAUUGGUUUCUUUCCUUCUUUCUUUAGUUCCGUCCUUUUGGCUUGGGAAUUAGGGAUUUCCUCUUGGGAUGGGAAGUGCUAAUAAAUACACGCCCCUCCUCCUCCGUUUUGAUAGUAGUGCAUAUUUAUGAUUAAGCAUGAUGUCACUUUGGUCUCUUCUUCUCCUAGUUUUUAUUUGACAAACAUGCGUCAAUAUUUUACAUUAACGUGGAGAUUUCUCAUAGCAUCAUACAUCAUAAAUAAUGUGCUCGUCUAGAUCUUUAGGUGAUUAUUGAAUAUACCACACGGUUCUUUUUAUUUAUUUUGUACUCUUUUCUUCUCUAUUUUUUUAAAAGACAAAUGAAAACACCUCUAUUUUUUUACGAGUUAAUCUUAUAUAUAUUGACAGCGUGUGUAUAUAUAUAUACACUAUUACGGCUAGAUGCAUGACACGUGUAAAAUUUGAAUUAUGUGUCGUGCAUCUAAAAUGAUGAAAGUGUGUAACACUGUCAAUAUACAGAAGAAGAUUAAUUCUUAUUUAUUUUAUUUUAAUGAGAAGGAAAACACAACCGGAUUGUAUUGUAAUUUGUAUGGAAGGGGCUAAAGGAAUGAAAAUGGUAGAUGACUGACUAUUCAAUAAUGUUGAAUGAAAUUGGACGUUGUUCUUGCAUUUCCCAAGAGUCUCAUUAAUUGGGAUUGACUGCCAGGGUUUCGUUAUCCUGGUAACGUUUUCAUACUCUUGUGGGUUUUGACAACACUCGUGACUGCUACUUCUUUAUCCUUCUUUCCUGCAUUGAAUUAGUCGUUGAAAGCUCAAUUUGGGAAAAUUUGAACUAUCAAUUUUCUAAGAUUAGUUAUCAGGUUUGUGUGGGGAUGGUUGAACGUUGUAUAAUUGCAAGCACAUUUUAUUUGUUUUUCUUUGACCUAAAAGUUUGGUCUUUUCCAAUUGAUAGAUAUUCUGUGGACUCGUACGAGUCAACUUUCGAACCAAAAACAUGAUGUCUAAAUAACAAUGAGGCGUAUUCUUUUUAAUUUUCAUUAUAUGUCUCUGUUUGGAUCCAUCAAUUUUGCAAAAUUUAGUUUUUCAAAUUCUAUAAAAAAAAAAUUUUAAAAAGUGCUCUAGAAGGUACUUUAAAAAAUAGUCUAAUUUUUUUUUAAUGUUUAAAAAAUAUCCCUAAAUAUAUUCUAAAAACUCUGUUACUUUUAAAUAUCCCGAAAUAUAUUCUAAAAAUAUCUCAACAUAUACUAUAAAAACUCUGCUAUAGUAAAAUUUUUCAAAAAUACCCCCAAAAACAGUUAAUUCAAACGGAGCAAAAAUUCUGUGAACAACUCAGUGGGAUCUUUUAUUGGUAAUAAGCACUUGUUAAAAAAAAAAACACACAAACACACACACACAAACACUCCAUGUUUAUUUAAAAAAAAAAAACAGUUUAUGUGCAAUUUUUUUUUUCAUAAAAAGAAAUAUUCUUAACCGAGUAGCUAGAAAUCGUCCGGUGCGAAAUACUAAACAAAGUUGAACGGGGAAUUCCAUAGGUAUGAAUUAGAGCUUUUCAUGCUAAAACUUCACAGUUUACAUGCUAAAAGAAUUUACCAUUACUUAUGAUUAGUAUACCAUAUACAACGGCCAUGAAAUGCUAGCCGUAUAAAUUUGAUAAGUUGUUUUACAAACAAUUAAUCAACAAAGUACAAAAUGAUAUACAAUUAAUGUGAAACACCGCCAAAUUUCCUUGCAUCAAGAAGACCAAACCUGUCAAAAUCCUACAUAAUUCUAGGGUCUAAUUUCCUUUUGCAUAUUAUUCUAAACUAACAAAAGUCUACUUGUUGAACAACAGUUGUGUAUACAUAUAUGUCAUGUUUGAAUGAGCUUCGACAAAAAAAAAAAAAAAAAAAAAGGUAUUCAACAGCAGAUGCAAGCUGACUUUUGUAAAAGUUCUAGAAAACUUAUUCAAAGUUUUAGCAUUAAAUGACUUUGAGGGGUGCCAACACAGUGAGAUUUAUCAUUUGGCUGAAAAGUAAUCAUUUGGUUCUGAUCAUAAUCCCUCUUCUUGACCAUUAUUUGCCACCCCUUUUCAAGAAAAUUUUUUGGACUUUCAGGACGUGAAGAUUUGAUUUGAAUCCCCUCACAUUUCUCCAUCUCAUCCUUGAUUGAUGGACGGAAGAAAAGAGCACAGUAGGGUUUUAGGAUUCACAAAUUAAGUUGAAUAUCAGAUUCUUGCUGCUCGGAAUUCAAAUGCUUUUCGAUGUGAUACUAUUUUAUUAGUACCUUCAAAUCAUUGACCAUUACUACAUUUACCAUGUCAUCAUCAUCAUCAUCAUUUUCAUUUUAGUAUUUCUGUAAUCUCUAAUUACAUGAGAGGCACGUAAUUGAAUUCCUGGUCCUAUUUUUCUAUAUUCAUUAUAGUUUUUUCUUUUCUCUUGUGGGGUCUCAUAACUGGGAUGGUACCCGGUAGUGUAGAAGAUAAUCCUGGCUUUUACAAAAAAAAAGAAUCGUUAUCCCUAGCUAGUUCAUGUCUAUACUGGAGCUUAUUGCAUGCAAAUUAGGUUGUGUUUGGAUUGCAUUUUCCGUCAUUUUUUAUGGAAAAAUUACUGUAGCGAUUUGAUAUAUGUGAGGAAAAAAGGUGAUAGGAAAAUGUGAUCACGGAAAACGAUAAUAUUUUUCGACGACAAUAAGCAAUGCAAACAAGACCAACUAACCAACCAAAAUAUAUAGGGAAAGAAAUGGGAACAAGAUAUGAUAUUUUAGCUUUAAGUAUCCUUCAGAUUUCUUUAUAUAACAUCUGGAAAAAGGAUAUGCCCAAAUUUGUUUUUUUUUUGUUUUGUUUUGGGUUUAACAUCAAUUUUGUACUGAUAUCCAAAAUAUAUAUAUUAUUGUUUCCUCUCAAGGUCCAUUAUGCAUGGUCAACGUCAUAAGGCAACAAAAUGAUCGCUUUCUAUUUCUCUUAAUCAUCAACCUUCAUCAUCCUUAAGUGUCAUUCAUAAUAUAUUAUCUUUUAUGAGAUUGGCCGCUUCAAUCAUGAACUCAUUUGCAGACAUGUAAUCAAAACCCUACGUAGGAAUGUUACAAACAAAUAUGCAAAGAGGUAGGUGCAUGAUUUGCUUGGUGGUUGGUUGAGGCAAUGCUCCAAAUUGCAACAUGUCUAUCUCUUUGACAUCAUCAUCAUUAAUUCCUCAAUAAAGCACAUCCUUUUAGAUACAUACAUAUAUAUAUAUAUAUCCAUGGAAAUGAAUGAAUGGCUUUGUUCCAAAAGGUAAAAAGAUAAAACAAAAAUAAAGCAAUUAAUUUUAGUAUUUUUUACAUUUGAUAAAUUUUUUUUGGGGGACAUACUCGUUACAUAACCCCUUUUUUUAUAACUAACGUUUAAAGUUUUGCACGCUAAUUAAGAAAAGUUUUUCAUUGCUUAAAUCUGUACACUACUUUCCUUUUGUACCCUCAUUAAUUGUCCAAUUCACCUAUGUUUUCUCUCACUAGAGUACUAAAUGGUGCUGUUUUACUAGGCCAAAAGCAAUAAUUACUAGGAGUAGUAAUUAAGAACACUGUAUUUGAAAAGAGAGAUAAAAGGGUAAAAUUGUAAAAAAAAAUAAUUAAUACUGUAUGGGAAUAAUAAAACGACAGAUAAAAGUACACUAGAGCAAAUUUCUUAAACGUCAGUUAUAAAAAAAAGUGAGGGAGUAAUACAAUUAAAAGAAUAUUUUUUGGGACAUACCUUUUAUUGGGGCAAUUCCAAUUUCCAAAGCACAUUUUCUUUUCCAAGAAAUAUUAUUAUUAUUGAUUGGACCUUCGAAAUGAAAGGAAACUUAAGGAAAAUAGAAAACAAGAAUUGCAUGUCAUGUAGAUGUAGAUGUAGUGUCUUCCAUCAUCAUGUGUUGCCUUGCCUACCAUGAAUUACACUCAACUACAAACAGUUAUAAUUUGUAUGAUUAAACACCAGAAACUGCAUGAUUUCGUGUACCACCACAUGCAUUGGCUGUGUGGGUGUGGGAAGUCAUCAAGAAAAACCGAAACUCAUGGGAAGAGGGUCAUGAUUAUUUUUUAUUAGUGCUCUAGUUAUAUGGAGAACCGACCUUGGACCCCAUCUCAUAAUCUGGAAUUAGUAGUUAAAAGGGACUUAACCUAGUCAUCCAAAUUGCAAAGUUCAACUGCCAUUAUUACAUGUCAUCCAAUCAUUUGUGCUACGUUGGUUUGUCUAUCUCACUGAUUGCAAAGGCAUCAUCAAUUUGAAGAGAACAAAUAUAUAUAGCUUUUUUUUUAAUUAUUAUUAUGUAUUAUACAUUUUCUUUGGAGGUUAUAUAUAUAUAUAUGUAUAUAUAUACACACACACACACAACUAGUCCUUUUCUUCCCUAAGGGGGCGUCCAUAAUAAUAACAAAUGAUUUUUAAUCAUAUCAAUCAAUUAGUGUGAUACAUCUCCUUUUUCUGCAUGACUAGCCAUAGUUACGUUUUGCCUUCUGCUCUUUUACAAAGGUGACAAGCAUAUAUAAAAUUUGUAUGCCACAAAGUUUUUAUUUUUAGUUUUAUUUUUGAUAAUCUAAUCAUGAAUUCACUAGCAGACAUGAGAACAAUAUAAUUAGUUAAAUCAUUAUUCAAAUAACCCAAUUAGGAAAUCAUGCUUCUUGUUCAUUUUAAUUUACCUUUCUACUCAUUGCGUUGUGACCUCGAAUUAGGUCACUAAAUUUGUUUAAUAUUUGAGUUUGUCACUAUGUACGGCCUUGCAAACAAUAUAAGAAUUACGGAUAUCUUUUUAAUGCCAUGCCAUCGAUAAAAUGAUAAAAAAAAUAAAAAGUUAAAAAGACAUAAGUUCGAAUUGUGUCAAUAAGCUGGAUGGUAGACAUGUCUUAGCUUCUAGUUAUUUAUGUAAUUAAUUAUAUGUCACCCCAAAAACAAAAACAAAAACAAAAAAUCAAAGAAAAAGGAGCUUUUUAACCCUUUGCUAAUUGUUGACAAACUUUUCAUGCCACCAUCUACCCAUUACUUUUCACGAUAUCAAACAACGCUAUGACUGUUUUGAUUUGGAUAAGAUAACAGGUUGCACACCAAGAAGAUUGCCGCCCUGAAAAGUUGUGAAAGGAAAAUGCCUACCAGAAUUGAAAAAUCAGCCAUAAAGAAACCAUGUUGAUGUUGAUCACAUACAGCACAUUAUCUAUUAAUAAAGUUUAAUAUUGAAUGUGGCAAUUCAAUCACUUGGAUAAUGAAACCUUAAAGCAAUGCGCGAUAUUUCAAUGUUUAUGUUCUUGACACUCGACACUCGUCAAGAUGACUUUGAGGCGUUAAUUUUUCAAAAAUACUAUAAGAUCACAUCAAAUGAGUAUCUAAUUAAAUACAAGAGAAACAAUAAAUAUGAGUUUGUGCAUUCAAAUGAUAAUUUUGACAAGGCGUUGUUUUUUUUUUUUUUUUAAACACAGGGACAAUCUCAGUUUUGCCAUACUAAUCUCCCUACGUCUGUGCAUCCCGCUUCCCAAGGAUACACAAGCGGUAGAGAGGUGACUCAAACACACGAUCUCGGGACUUAACUAGACUAUUUCGAAACCAUCGGAACCAACUCCAAGAGGCACAAGGCGGUAUUUAAACAACACUUCUUUUAUAGAUCGAACCGCCACGAUUUGAGUAUAUAUAUUCCAGGUAGGUAUUGUGUGAAAUGAAUCAAUGAACAAGAGAUAUUUUGCAAAUCAAUCUUAUUUUGUUAAAAAAUAAUAAUAAUAAUAAUAAUAAUUAGCAAGGGAAAGAGAAUUUAAACCUAUCUUUUCAAGAUUGAAAAAUCCAUGUAAUGACGAAACAAGACAGGAAUGUGAAUGUCCUCGAAAGCUCAAGGAAACUUUCAUGCAGCCCCCCUUAAUGGGGCCUGACAAAAGGUGGCUCUUUCCAUACGCAAUGUAUAAUGAUCUGGACUCCCAGUGGAAGACGUUGAAGAGUAGAAAAUUGGAGGAGAAUACACAAUCUGGACUCCCAAUAGAAAUAUUAUUGAAGAGUUGAAAUUUGAGGGAGAAAAAAGCCAUCUUACAACUGGUUUGACUACGAGACUUCAACCCACUUUUAUCCGUUGAAUUUCAUGUAUAAACAAAUGAUUCGAGGAAAGAAAAUUUGAGUUUGGAUAGAACAAGCACCAAACUUUGUUAGUAUAUUUGAAGAUUUGAGGCGGCAGCAUAAUUAGUUGGUGGACUCGUUAGAAGAAUGUUAUAUAAUGUGACCAUCAUUAUUCUUGAAAAAUUUGCAAGCGCACUAAUUACACACUUAUUCCCAUGUAACAAGAAUCAUUAGAGAGCAAAGCUUAAUGCAGUUACUGUACCAUUUCUUCAUAUAUGCCAUGUGCAAAUUUAGAAAUAUCAGCUCACAAACAAAGUUUUAGUUAUACUUUAGUUUUUAUUUCAAAAUAUCAUGUAAUGCAGUUGAAGUCCAAAAUAUCAAAAUCAAAAUAACUCAAGAGUGGAAAAAAGGUACGUCUUCCGACGUGCCAUUUACGCCAUAAUUAUCAUACGUAUGCACAUACUCAUUUUCCUUUUCUACUUUUUUUCGCAUUUAAACACUUUAUGUGCUUAGUUUUAUUUUUUUCCAAAAAAAAAAAAAAAAACUAAUAGUUAAGACUCCUCUUAAUAAGUUUUCAUUAAGCACCGGUUAGUAAGAACGUAAACGAUUCUAAUCAAGUCGAACGUUCUAGUGUUCAAACUUAUUUGAUUAUUUUAACGAAUUUAAAGUUUUGUUUAAAUAUGACUUAUUUAUUUGACGAACCGAGUUUUAUCGAAAUUGAAAGCUAUCGAACGUAAUAUGCCGUUCAAGUCUGUUGUGACUAAUUGGCAAACCAACUUCUAAUGAUCUCUUACCAACUCGAUUCGAAUAUUGAGUAGUUUGAUUCGUCUUUUAAUCCUAUCGAUUUCGGUGUACGGAUAUUUCAUGACAUAACUAUUGUAAUUAUUAAAUAUAUUUAACAAGACUAAAAGAUCUCAACUUCCUUUCUUAUCAGCCAAGUGCAUUCCACACAAUUCGCAUGUAGUGGAGGCAGAUGAUCGCCAAAUGUGCAAAUAAACCGAAAGGUCAAAAAACUUAAUGACCACGAAAUGUGAAGGGCUAAAUUGGAUUUGGUCCACCGUGUUUCGCAAUCUAUGAUGGAUUUUUAGGUUGACAAAGCAAUUUUCAAUAAUACCGUUUACGCGUGUUCGUGAUCUUCUAAUAUUUUUCUGGGAGAAAAUUUUCCUUGUUUGACGACUGAUGAUUACUUUGUCAUUAUUGCAUGUUUGAAAAAGUAAAUCCUUUGCUCUCCACCACUAAUCCUUGUAUUCCUGACUUAUCACCAUAACGCCACAAUUAUAUAUUUUUCUAGCCCAAAGAUGACAAGUAUUAAAGAGGACUUGAAGGAACAAUCAUCAAAUCAGAAACAUGCCUUGAGGAGGAAGUAAUUCUUGAAGUAUGCAUUUUCUCCGGUGCUAUCAUCAACAAUGUGGUGGGCAUUGGGAAGAAGAAGAGGAGGUGUUGCCCAAGUGGUUGAGAAGUAUACUUUUUUUUUUUUGUCACAAAAAAAAAAAAAAAAGUGGUUGAGAAGUAUACAGUUGACUUUCUUAUUAAUUCUUUUAUGGUUGACUGGAGGAGAAUCAACAUAAUCUAAUGGUCAACUUUUACUAAUUCCUAUAUUAAGUACCACAAAUGACCAUUCUCCCAGCGAUCAAAGGGUUUUGUUUGCACACCACAACCACCCCGAAGUCAGACUGCGGGUCCAGUCUGGAGUUCUUUAGGUUGAUUUUCAUGGAACAACUGCUGCCGCCAGUAUAGACUGCAAAUAUACAAACAGCAUACACACAAUACAUGCAUCUUUGAGGGAAGAAAAAAAAAAUAGGGGCAAAUGCAGUUUUAGGCCCUGCUUGAUCGACAUUUUCAGAUCUUAACAUAUUUAGACGCAUUUGAUAGUUAAAAAUUGAACAUUUGAAUUAAUUAGGUGACAUUGAAUUUUCUAGGCAAAACUUACUCUCGAAAUUAAAUGAUAGUCUAUUCACGUAUUGUUCAGUAUGAUAUGCAUUCAAAUGUAUCAAAUUUAGUUGCGGCAAAAGUUAGUUCUCAACGUCCAGCACGUGUGCAUUUUUAGUUCCCAAAGUUUUUGACAAGAAUACAUAUGGUCUCCCGCUACCAAUUUGAAGCAGAUUAAGGACAAUUAAUGGAUUUUCCAAAUAUCAAUAUGAAAUCCGUCACGUCUUUAACAAGUCAAACUUCUUAAAAAGGAAGCAAAAUAUUUUUGAUCUUUUGCGGGGCUAAAUUUUUAAAAAUUUCAACUUUUAGAGGAGAAAUACCCGAAUUGUCAACUGCACCAAUCAGUAUUAAUCCUUCUCCAAGUCCAGGUGGUCAAAGGUUUUGGUUUACAGUAACCCCGGAGGGAGACAGCAGUGGAGUCUUUUGGGUAUAUUUCCCUGCAAUAAUUGCCGCCAAGUAUAGAAUCCAAAUAUAAAAUACAUACCCGUAUCACCGGAAUCUGCCAAGAAUAGCACACUUUCAACUCAAUUUUGAUGUAUUGACAUGUAGCCGGAGCUCCAGGUCAACUCUAGCUCUGAUUUUUUGGAGCUUGAGCCACUAGGACAAUGGCCAUGAGCUUUAAGUCUUUAACUUUGGGGUCCACAUUCUACACAUAUUCCUUACAGCUUCAUGUAGCUUCAUCAUAUACAAAUUACAUAGGUUUCAAAAUAUGCAUUAAGUUCAGCUAAUGCUGGAAUUUUCUCAGUUUUCUCACUGGCACCCGGUUAACAAAUUUCUUCAGGCCCAUAACUUCUUCACGCCUGUUACAAUUUCAACCCACAAUCCAACAGGAUUCAGGGAACAUACAAGAAUCACAUUCUAACAACAAGUUUGUUUGGAUAGAGGUUUAUUUGCCAAAGUUUAUUUGCUUACAUCAUCAUUACAAUUUCCAACACACCUUUUUAUCUUUCCAAUUACCUUUUUAUCUCACAUACAUCACAUCACAAAAAGUGCUACAGUAAAAAUAUCUCAAAUAAUUUAUAAUCCAAACAGAGCUCAAGUACAAUAAUACGUUGUAACAAAACCCUCCCCACAAAACACCCACACACACACACACAAACAUACCGAGAGAGACGCCAUACCACAUUUGAGGAGAAAAAGAAUGUAAAUGUUACAUCACCAAUUAGCUGAUAUUUUAGCGAAAAACCCUCAAUUUUACAACAGCAGAGAAGGAACUCAUCAGCUGUCCAUCCUUUACCGCCUAUGUUCUAGUAAAGCACUCAGUUUCAUGGCCAAGGCUGUAGAAAGUCUAGUAUAUCAUCUAUGCAAAGCAAUAUGAAAAUUAUCCAGAAGCAUAUUGACGUUCUAAUGCUUCAACAAACCUCCAUAUCAAACUUCCCUUUUAUGUUUAGUAAUGGCCUAAACCUCAACUCUGAUUAGGAGGAUGUCAGACCAAAUAGCUCACUUCAGUUCCCAGAGGCUGAAUCAUUUCUCAUUUGUUGCUCUACCAUCAGAGGCAAGAGAAGUGCCAAUCUGGUUUUGUAUCUCGCAAUUCGUUGCAGUCUUUCUUCUCUUAAUCUGCAACAUCCAGUAAAAAGCCGAACAGAUUUUAGUGUUCUCCAAUUAAAAGGUGAACUGAAUUAGGUAUUCACGGAGAAUGGUCAAACUAUGCAGCAGGUUGAGAGUAGAUAGUUGUAAAAUUGUUAAUAAGAAAAUGUGAAGCGAAACAGUACCCGCUCCAAUUUGAACCUUACACAUGCUGAAUUUGUCUUUGAAAGUAAUCUCAUUUCCAAUUUAUUUGCUUUCAGAUUCUGUUGAAAGAUUUAAAAUGUAGUAAUUGAUGCUUUAGUUUUGACUAGCACCAUCUAUAAAUGUUCAACACAUAAGUAACGAUCCUCUUUCCAUCACCUAGGAAAAUAAUCACACUAGGCCAAAGAAAGUCGAGCCCAAAUUUUUAUAUAUAAAAGCAGAAGAGAUUUACUAAUAGUUUCCUCUUGAAGACAAACUAGGGAAAGCUUAGCAGUAAUACUUGGAGAUGUCAAGCCAUAAAAAUUAAAGGUGCUUGGAAGCUAAAAUGUAGAAAGAAAAAAGCAAAAUCAGAUUGUCUACAGAUAGGUGCAUACAGAGAGCGCAUGCUGAGAAAACACUGUGAGAACAAGGCUAGAGUACAAUCAACUUGCUUAUCAUUUCAACGUUACCAGCUCCAAUGAAAUAUGUAGCACGAGAGUUUUUGGUUUUUAGGGCACUAUAGCGACCUAUCCUAUCCACAGGACUAAUGCACAAGAAAUUGUAUCUCGCUGGAGUUAAAUUCUCAAAAUCACAAAUUGGAAACCACCAGGAUUCAAAUUGAGGCCCUAUUUGAUAACCCAAUUUAACACUUAAACUUAAUGGAAUCAGAUCUUAACAUAUUCAGACCAUUUGAUAACCAAAAAUUGAACAUCUGAAUUAAUUAAGUAGAAUUGAAUUUUCUAAGCAAAACUUACUCCCAAAAUUAAGUAAUAAGUUAUUCACUUAUUACUGAAUGUGAUAUGCACUCUAAUGUAUUAGAUUUAAUAUUUAACAAAUUCAAUAACUUAAUAGAUUCAGACUUCAAAUUUCAGACUUCAGUUUUCAAAUUUCAGUUUUAUCAAACGCACCCUUUAGCACCAUUAAGUUGCAAAGGAUAUUCCUAUCAAGUCCAUAUAGUCAGCCAGUAGUAAACAAAGAUUUUUCAUAAGGUGACUUCCAGAAUGUCAAUAACCCAAAUGAACAAAAUUAGCAAUGCAUAUAUCAUUGAGGCAUUUGGGAAGAAUAAUUAUCAUUUAGUGACAGAUUUGAUCAUAAGAAAUCAAGGGGGAAAAGGACACUUACCGUGAUCGCACCCUCUUAGCACGCUUGAUAUGUGUUUGUAACAGCUCCUCAGAAGUUAAAUUGUCCACAGAUCCUUCUACCUGAAACUUGGAGCAAAUCCGUUCAGAUUGUUAACAGACAGAAAAAUGUACCGAUACAGGGGUUGAAACGGAUGUGUGCAUACACUGAACAAAAUUUCCAUAAAUCAGCAAUUAUUAAAGUGCAACACUCAAAAAUACACAAAGUUAAAGAUGACACAUAUUUCUGCAAUUGAAUUCCCAGAGACAGAGAAAGAAAAAUGUUGGUUAGAUGUUCCAAUAAAAAUAUAUCACAAUUCAUUAUGAUUUGCUAUGACACUAGCAGAUAUGGAUACGCACUUCACAUUGUUGCAGACAUAAAGAUCUUUUAGAGGUAUAACAAUCAUUUAAGCUGCGAUAAACUUCUGAGCUUCUGAGCUCUAACAAAACUGCUAUGAAUCUGCUCUGAAAGAGCUAUUCCCUUUUACUUACCCAACCAUCAAUGCAUAGAAGACCUCAAAUGUCACUAACCUAUUCAUACUACCCACCGGUGUCAUUAGAGCCGACACAAACAAAUUCCUACAGUACCUGUACAAUGUGAAUAUUAGCAAAAGAUAUGAGCUACAUUAUUCGUAAGGUAGCAGCAGAGAAGAUCCAAGUCCACCUGGUGCUUGAAGUGAUUAAUCUUUCUGGCAAAAACUCCUAACUUGUAUCUCCACCACCCCCACCCCCAGCCCAAAACCGAAAAAUAAAACGGGCAUUCAAGCUCUACCACCUUAACAAAGAAAGAAAAAAAAUUCUUGAACAGCAAUUCUAAACUUUUCAUUCCUUCAAAUAUAUUCCUUGACAACAAGGGAAAGAAAAGGCGUGUUUUUUUUUUUGGGGGGGGGGGGGGGAAUCCAACGGAUGGAUAGCAAAGAGCAAAGAAGAUGUUCUUAUUCCUUCAAAAUAUCUUCUUGUAAUAGCAAAGAAGAUCCAAAGGUUAUUAUCUGGAUUCCUUUGAAUAGCUACAAAUUAUGUUCCCUAAACAUUGGUUCUUCUUCAUAACCAAAAAGGCAACAAUUAAGCUCCUCUAUGCCACCAUGAAAGAAACUUAUCAGCUGAAAACAUCAAUCCUUGUCAAUUAGAUGAUAUGUUCAACCAAAUUUGAGCUAUUAUGACAACAAAAGGAAACACUUGAAAUGUCAUAUAUAAAGGUCAUGUUUCAUAGAAAGGAAAACUUGUGCUACAUUUGCAGUGCAUGAUUAAACUAACCUCCUCUUCUUCCUUAGGAUUGUCCUUUUUCACGGGUGAAACAUUACCUUGGGCAGGUAAUGGCAAAGGUCGGGGAAGAGACCUAGCUGCAUCCAUGUUUAUUGGCUGCCAGCAAAUUAUAAAUUAUGCCACCAUAGACCUCAAAAAAAAAAAUACACUGCUCAAAAGAGGAGAGAAGAAAGAGAAGAAAAUGGUUCAAUAUCAAGAAGUUAUAGGAAAAUGUUUUAUGCAUCGUUCAAAAAAGAGGUUUUGCAGAGGAAGUUAAUGGCAUAUUUAAACAUAAUUGACGAUAGCAAACACAUAAAGUAUCCAUUUGAGCUGGAAAAAGAAAAAAAACACACACACACAAUCUUGAAAUUAAGUAUCCUAGGAUUGUCAAAAAACCAAAUGGCAAGUCAUAAACAGGUAUUUGCACAAUCAGUGAUCUGUACACAAGAUACAUUUUUCAGAAGGCUUUUGGCCACAAUAUACAAACCAUCACUUGAGGAUAAUGAAGAAGAAUUGCAAGUUUUUCCAACAAAUUAUCAUCUUUCAUAUAGUUGAGACUACAACUUGCAUUUAAAUAAUUUUUUUCAAAGAAAAGAAAGAUUUUAGAGUCACAUGGUAGGAAAGGAGUUCUACAACUAUUCCACCAAACUAAGGACCUUUUGGGUUAAUGAUUUUGAUCUUAUAAUUAUGCUUAAGCUGAAAGUACAAAUCAUAUAGUAAACAGUUUGAAGAGAACAUUGGUUUAGUUGACUUCUGUUAUAUAUAUUUGAUUAACACCAAAUUGAAAAUUUUAGGGGAAAAAAGAAAGAUAAUCAAAUACACGUCAAAGAUUCAGAGUGUAUAUGUGUGUGUGUUCAUAUUCAUGAGCCUGUGUGUGUAAAAGAAUAAGUAUGGUGGGAGUAGACUAAUGGGAUCAAAUAAAUGUCACAAAUAAGGCAAAUGUUUGAGAUUUCUUAUUUUGGGGUUUGUAUCCUAAACCUUUGGUUUAAAAAUUAAGUUUCUGCUCUUCUUUAUAUAGGACUAAAUUCUUAUCUCAAAUGAAUUAGCUUUGAGAAGUAACUAAGAAAACGGAAAAUGGCCUUUAGUAUUGAUCUCUUCAAAACAGUAAAACAACUCAGAGCUGAAUGGGACCCAACUUUCCUCAAAACAAAUUUUGAAUCCUUAGUUGAAUAAAUGUGAAACAGAAACUGCAAUCCAAUCAAGAAUGAUAAACACUAAACUCACUCCUAAAAAAAGGAUUAGUGUCAGAGCUAAUCAUUUUAGAUCAUUAAAUAUCUUUUAUGAACAUCUAAAUCUAAGUCCUCUGAACACCAGCCACUGAUAUUUAUUAAGUCAAAAAAGUACUGCAACAUAGCAGCGCAUCAAAACAUGUGCUCCAAAUAAUUGCAAACCUGACUUUCUUCAGGAAAACCAUUCCUCAGCCACGAUCGGCAGUGGGCAUAAAGAGAAGCACUCUCAGAUACUCGGACCUAUCAUAGAAUAAAGAGGUAAAAAUCACCAACAAAUACUACAAGUGAUAGUCUGAAUGCAGCAAAAUUGGUCCCAAUACACUCUUAGUUGUGGUAGUAAGUUUUCAAAAAGAGAAAUGUGAUACAUAUUAAUGAGAUCAAGGCAAGUCAUUAGGACAAUCUGCCCUAUAUUGAAACUAUCCUAUGGAUGACUGAUUCUUUGAUGCUUAUGCUACUUCUCUUCCUUCGCCAAAUAAAGACUUUCUUCAUCUAAUAGGAAUAUCCCAUUAAACAAAUGGAGUACCCAGUUAUCUUUCAUUUAAAAAUUGACCAGCAUAAUGAAAACUAUAAUCCAAAAUCCAAGCCAUGAGACUUCAACUAUCAGUGCAGGAAAGAAAGGCAAGAUGUACAACCUUAGACUAGACAGCAAAAUUGUCAAGGCCUUUUCCAUGGAGAGAGAGAUGUACAUCAAAUUUAUCUCUGUGCCUUUUCCAUGGAGAGAGAGAUGUAAAAUUAGGAAGUUCAGCAAUUGUUAAUGUUUUUUUGCCAACUUUUUCAUACAUCACAGGAAGUCGAAAAUGCAAAACAUUGUCUACAGAAUAUAAUCUCUUUAUCACAUUAAAAUCCUUACAAUUUUCUAUUGCAGCCAAAAGAAUGGUUAUAUAAUGCAUACAAACUGCAUCCACUAUCGCGAUUAAGAGCAAUGAAAAGACUCAGAGCUUACUUACCUUCCUGUCUCUAAUAGUUACAAAAGAAUCAUCCCUGCCUCUUUCCCUGCAAAAGCUAAAAAUGCAGAUGUAUGAUUUGUUCUGCAAAGAAACAAGUGCAUAGGAAAUAGAAACCUGGAUACUAAUUCAUAAGCAAAAAUAGUUAAAAGUGCAGCUUUACCUCAUUUCUUUGUGGCCAUUACUAUCAGAAACUGGAGUAGAUGAAAGGGAGACCUAGCACCCAAAAAAAAAAAAAAACCAAAAUUGUUCAGAAGAUAGCACCAAAAUCAAGGAACUACAUCAUAGGAUUCCAUACACUGUUGGUCUAUGCACCAAGCAAUUAAUUCACAAGAUGGAUCCAAUUCCCUAGUCAAAUUGAUAUGGGAAUACUAUAAACAAAAAAAGCUAAGACAAAACAACACAAAAUGAUAGAUUAAUCCUGUCUUUAAGUCAAAAAUAAUGCAUAUAAAUACUCUCUGAGUGAAAUAUUAUCAUCACUGCACAACUAGAAAUCUUUCACUUCACUUAGCAGAAUAAAUGGAUGAGGAAGAAAUAGUUGAAAGACACCGUGAAGCUCAGCAGACAAUCAUAUCACACAAGAAGUUCAAAAAUUGCAAAUUAUCUUACGAAAACAACAAACCUGAUUAUUUAGACAAUUACCAAAUGCAAGUAAUGAGAUCUCCAUGUUUUUCCUAGCAAAAAUUGAGAACCUUUAUGAAAUGUGAAUUUCUAACCAGUAGCAGGCUUUAUAGCAAGCUAUCCCCAGGGAAAUCUAGCAAUUGGAUAUCAUUUUUCCAUUUUCAAGAACUUCAACAAUACUAAAUUGUUCAUUUACUUUCAGAAGAGAUUCAUAAUUGUCCACUGGAAAUUAAAAAACUGGAGGCUACAUUAAAACAGUGUAAUGGGGUCAUGUUGGAAGAUAGCCAACUCCUGUGGUAGGAUGUGGCCAUUUUAGGACAAGCAAGAAAUCAGUGACUGGGUAACAAACAUGUAAACCAGGAAAUAAAGAAGAAACGCCCCAUGUAUAACCUGGUUUGUGCUCAUUUCACCAACUCUCCAGAAAAAUCUCAAGCUUUCCGACGCAGAAGGAUAUUUAGUUUCAGAUUCCAUAUUUCAACAAAUUCAGAAAAUAAUAAAGCAUUCACUUCAAGAACCUCACAAAGCUAAAUGAGUACAGAAACAGAAUAAGGGGAGGAAAGGCAUAGGGUGAUAUUGAAGGAAGGAAAGGAAAAAUAGAAGGGGAAAAGAAAAGAAAAGAUGAUGGAGAAGGACAAGCAGGAGAGGAGGUAGGAAGCGAAUCAGAAGUCAGAACAAAAUGAGAAUUCCAGAAAAUGAGGGCAAAGAGAGUGAGCAAUGAUCUACACAGAACAAAAAGGAAACCCUAAUUUCCACCAAUAAUCUGAUGCUUACUCAACCUAAGCAUUUUCUAUACAACUCAGUAGAAACCAAAGACCCUAAUGCAGAUCCAAUGGAUAUAAAGCAGAUCCAGUGGAUAUAAAAAUGUACAAAAAGGUUGCUUUUCAGCACAUGCACUUAGUGAUAAGUUGCACGUGUUUUUAGCUGCAGCUUGGCUGAAAAAGUAUUGUGAUAAGAAUCAUACUCCAACUACAGAGGGCAUGUAGAGAUGCGAUGGAUAAACUUAAAAGACAAAUUUUUUAACAACUUUGUCUAAGUAACCAAAAACACACCUCAAAGUUUUAAAACACAGACCCUAAAACAUAACACACACCAUCUUCAGGUCUGUAUUAUAAAACUUUGGGGUGUUUUUUGAGGUUGCUUAGACAAAGUUGCUAAAAAACUUGUCUAAUAAAAACCCCUCAAAAAACAGGGCUUCCAAGCAGACCCUAUGUCCUCCAAUAUAUAAAGCAAAUACCAAAAGUGCUUAACUACUUCGAGUAAUGUUUAGUUCAUAUAAGUUCGUAACCCAAAAAAACUCCUCAGCAUGAAACAUUACCCUAUCUUCAGAUACCUGAACAAAAGAUUGACAAUGCUAAUUUUGUGCCUUAAAAAAUGAUUACCACAUUAAAAGAUUUGAUUUCUAAUAGCUCCAAAAUGUGAAUCUUCUCCUAUCCCCCUAAACAACAUCUCACAGUGCUGAGUAGAAAACAGUACCUCAGAAAAUGCUAACCAUUUCCAACGUUCAUAGUGCCUUUUCAUGCUAUAAAAUGCUAUCACUCUCCGUAUCUCCCACAAUUCACAAAAAUAAUUCAAUGAUGAUAGGAUCCAAAAUAAAUAUACACCUUAUACACUAAAACCUAAAGCCGCUUCUCUAAAAAUGUUUAUUGGGACAACCUGUCUAUUUAAUUGCAAGCAAAAAAAAAAGGUACAUGGUCAAGGCCCCAAAAAUCUUAGCCAUUUGGGAAAGGUGUAAAGAACUAUGCAAGGUGCUCUACAUGAGAAUGUCCAAUGUUGCAGGAAACGUUAUAGUGCUUAUAUUUAAACAGCUUGUGCAUUUAUUAACUGGGAUCUUCUAAUGAGAUCACUAACAAGGUUCUCGUUAUUAUCACGGUUGUGAAAGUCAAAGAAACCACAGCUGGUUCACCACAAGUAAUUGAGCUCCAAGGCUUAAGAGGUGUCUCAGAAAAAAACGAUGUCAUUAUCUGAUGACUCGUCUCUGUUCUUCUAAUUACACUUUGUCCCAAGUGUUGAUCAACGUUCAAAUACAAUUCUAUAUUAAAGUUCAGUUUCUCUUUUCUUUUUCUCAUGGAUUAGGGAGGAGCCCCAAAUAUGUGUUUUAAAGUAAACAUAAAAAAUGAUCGAAAUUAAAAGAUUCAGAUAUCAUGCACAAAUGAUAAGUCAAUUUUCACAAGACAGAUCUGCAGCCACUAGGUUAUCAGAAUUGUGAUUUGAACUGGUUGACCACACUCCAUUUUAAACAUGGAAUUAAUAAACAGUAAGUAAUUGAAAAUAGUGAGUAAAUUGGCCAAAAAAGGUUAGAAGAUCCAAAGUUACACCAGUAGAUGCUUUAGUCUAUAUGCGAGGCCAUAAAUAUUUAAAUGCAGCAUUUAACAGAUAUUUGCAGCAUGGAUAACUAUCAUUGUCAAAGGAAAAAAAAUUAUUUUACACUUCUGCUUAUGUGAUGUCUCCCCUAGUUCAAUUCCUGCCCAUCUAAAAUUGGAUGUGGAAAACUGAAAUUGGUAAUACUCAAUACCAUGCUCCUUACACUUGAAUCAAGCAACUUUCAAUUCACCGACUUGUUCACCCAUAAGAGAUAUAAAUGCUCAAAUCUCCAUCCAAGCUCAAAGUUGGUCAGUUACUUUCCAUUCUUAGCAGCUUUACACCCGAAGAUAGAAAUGUUAAAUCUGCCUGAUCUGUUGACUCAAUAAGGUCAGUUCUUCAGACAUUAGGAAACUUUGCAAUUUAGAAGAAGAUUUAGCUGCUGAGAGGUCCAAAAGUAGAGAAAGUAAAGGAUUUCCCAGUAAUAGCUGAUGCAUCAUCAUUUUCUUCCUGAAAAUGUCUAAUGAACAAAUGGAUAAAGAUUAUAUCUCCACUGCAAUUGAGCUUUUAAUAACUCAUAAUCUUCCGAAUCUUGACAAAUGGAAAAAAAGUGUUUGCUCUACUCUAAUUGGCAAGUGAUAAAAUUUCCAUCUCCUAUUAGUAUAACCAUCAGGGAGUACACUGUUUUUGCAUAACUGUAUAUCAUUCUGUUGGGACCUCAAAUGCCUGACAAAAGAAUUCCUUUAGAAAAGUGACAAAGCUGAAUCCUAUUCACAAUAAAAAUAGAUAUACGAAGGUAGACAAGACACGUCAAAUACAAAUACAGGUUUUUCACUAUGACAUUUGCAUGCAAAUGAAUGUUUCAUCUUACUUCAAACCCUUAAAUUGAUUAUGAAUUGAAGCACAGUUAUACCUCCAUAUAUGUCAUGCACAAAACUGCAUGAGCAUUACUGGUCAAUCAGUAACCAAAAAUCAGAAAGGAAUUAGAUAUAAGGAUAAGCAAGAAUGCUUUCAGGACCAAGCUUAGACAAAAAUUUUGGAUCCAAAGAGAAACAAUGCAUAUAUUUGCAAUAAAUGUAGUAAAAUAUGCAUCUUAUAAUCAGCUACUCCAAGAAUGUUCAGUGUUAUAACUCAUGCUUGUACUGUUCUCUUCAAAUCAAGCGCAUAUAAAAACUUAGAUAGCCAAAACAAUGAAGCAUAAAGCACAGAAAGUGAUGCAGGUCAGCUUAAAUUUUGAAACCAAAACCACCUACUCUGGACAGAAUUUCAGCAUUUCAACAGAUUACUAAAAGGUCAGGCUGGAGUUUAAUGUAAUAAAGUCCUACCAGUUUCCAAAAUAACCGUAAUUCUCAUCAACGAAAAAUAUAGAAAACCACACAGUUAUUUAGCUAAAUAAAAACACAGAAAACCACACAGUUAUUUAGCUAAAUGCAAAUCAAGCUCACUGUAAAUGAAAACUUGUAAAAGAAGUUACUCUAAGAGCCUUCCUUCCUUUCUUCUGGUUUUUUUCCCUUUUUGGUUAAAGAAAUUAUAAGAAUCUUCAAGAAGUUUUUUUUUUUUUUUUAAGAUUCCUAUUAAUACUCAUUCUUUAUAACCAACAUUUAUUUACACAUUUGCAAGUAUACAUAGAUACCUAACCCAACUUUAAAAUAUUUCCCAAGUAAUGCAAGUGAAGAAAGAUAAAAAUGGGAAAAAACAUACAAGAGAAAGAGAGAGAAUUCUAAUGCUGAAAAAAUGAAUUUCAACGAAAUUUAAAGAAAUCAGAAAAUAGUUCCUCAAAAAAUUCCAAAAACCUUGUGUUGAGGCUGUGAAGAAGCAGAAGCAGAAAUUGGGACACCUUUAAUCACACCCGGCAUGACAGUUGCCCCACCACCAGCCGGGUGCUGCAAAUGCGGGAUGGACCUACCACUAACAUACCCCAUACCCAUACCCAUUCCCGUGCCCGCAACCAGACCUGGAUCCGGAUGAGAGUACCCAAACAACGGCCUGGGGUACGAAAUCCCAACCCCGGGACGAGCUGCCCCAGCUGCGUACAAAUGAGAAUUAGGGUUAAUAGAAUUAUUAACGGGAACAGAAGAAUGGGGAUGUUUUUGAAGAAACCCUCUGCCGGAGGAAGCUACAGGGUAGAGAGUGGUGGUGGCAUUAGCUGUGGUGGUGACGUCAUGGGAUGGGGGAGGAUAAUUGGAGUUAGGGCUUGCGGGGAGUCUGGAAUUUAUUAGAUGGGGAUGCGGCUGGGGAUAAAAAGGUGCUGGGUAAUGGUGAGGGUGUAGUGGAUGGGGAUGGAAAUGAGGAGGAGGCGGAGGAGGAGGAGGAGGAGUAGGUGGGUUUCGGGGAUUAGGGGGAAAUGGAGGUCUUGUGGUGGUGGAGGUGGUGGCAACGGCGGUGGUAGUGGACGACGACGGAGCAGGAUCAGGUGGUGGUGGUGGAGGAGCGGAGAGGGCCAUUUCCGGAGGGAGGAGUUUGGUGGCGCGGAAUUUUGAUUUUUCAGGUUCUCGGGUUUUGGGAGAGAGAAAAUUUUAAAUUUUUGUAGUUUAUAAAUCUUGGCGUGGACAAAGUGUCGGGUUUUGGGUGAAGAAACGACAUCGUCUUUCCAAUGAGCAGCGCAAACGACAGUAUGUUGUGGGUCCGUUUGGAUUUCGAAAAAAAAAAGACACAGCAACUGGAAUCUGAACAAGACUCCGUCUCAAUAAUUUGUUUCACAAAUUUCAAUCACCUUCUUAUCUUUUCAAUCAUCUUUUUAUUUCACAUACAUCACGUUACAAAAAAAUCCUACAGUAAUUAUCUCAAAUAUCAUUCAAAUAAACUCCUAUCCAAACAGACCCAAUAACUCUUGGAUUAAUUGUUUUUGAAAAAUUUUAUCGUAGCAGUAUAUUUGAAAAUUUUUUAAUAUAAAAUUUUUUAAUAUAUUUAAUAUAUUAUAUAAAUAAAUUAUUUUUUAAAUUAUUAUAUAUUAUUAUAACAUUAUUUUUAAAAAAAUAGUCAAUCCAACGGAGAGGAACACAAAAAUGGGUGAGCGGGGGCUAGGGAUUUUUGGUGGCCCCGGGGGGGAAGGGGGUGCUGUGUAUUGGAGAAUUUGGGAUGAAGGUCAGUUUGUAGGGUUCCUUCUGUCUGGUUGGUGUUCUAUCUUUUUGUCCACAUUGCUCUUCAUUUUGUUGGGCUUUUGACUAUCUUAUCCUUCUUUGUCUUUAAUGUCUCGUAUUUGCAUUAGAAAUUGGAUAUGACUUCUGCUAAGAGUUUUAACAAAACCACAAGAUACAAUAAUGGCCCCCUUUGAAAGGUGGGUGUUUUGGAUGUUUGUCUAAAAUUUUACUGUAAAUCACUGUAGAAGUUGUAAGAAAAAUUUUUAGGACAGAUUACUGUAGAUUUCUUUUUCUUUCUUUUUCUUUUUCUUUCUUUCUUCUCUUUUUCUUCUCCCUUCCCCCUCCCCCGGCACCUCUGCCUCUGAUGUAGAAGAACUAGCAACCAUGGGAAAUUUUUGUUUUUAGCUUUUUCUCUCCCCCUCUUCUCUCUCUCCCUCUCCCUCUCCCUCUCUCCCUAUCCUCCCCUUCCCUGUCGCCCUCUUACGCCGGAAUAGGUGAAGCCAUGGAUUUUUUUUUUUUUUGCUUUUUCUCUCCCCACUCUCCACCCCCUUUCCCGCCACCCUCCCCCUCCCCCUAAUUGCAAUCUAGUCGCCUAGUAGCCUGCAAUUUUUUUUUCCCUUUAUCUUCCCCUCUUAUCCCUCUCCCUCUCUCCCUCUCCUCUCCCCUCCCCCUCGCACUUCGACUUGUAUUAGAACUUGCAGCCACGAAAUAUUUUUUUUUUUUUUGCUUUUUCUCUCCCUUUCUCCUCCCCUCCCCCGCCACCCUCCCCCUCCCCUAGAUGUGCGACCAAAUCGCAGCUAGUAGGAGGGGGAGGGUGGCGGGGGAGGGAGAGGGGAAGAGGGGAGGGGAGAAGAGGAGGAUAGGGGUGAGGGAGAAAGAGAGAAAAAAAAAAAGAGGAAGGCUAGCACUAAUUCCAGUGCCACAAUAGGUGUUGGCGCUGGGAGCGGUGGUGGAGGUGGUGGCUGGUGGGUUGGAUGAGGGAGGAAAAAGAAAAAAAGUUGAAGGGAAAUUUUUUGUGUAUUAGAUUUGAAAUGUGUAGGUUAAAAACUUUGAUAAGUUUUUUGAGGUUCCUGUAACAGAAGUUGUUAAAAAAUAGUAUCAUAAAAACUUGCAAAAAACUUGAGGUUCCAAACAGGGCAAAUAUAAUAAGAUGCUUUCCAAGCUCUGAUUCACUACUUGAAAUGCCAUCUUCAGCUUAGUGAAGUAUCGUCAUCAUCAUAAAAAGCACCAAACAUUAAGAGCCCACAGCCUUGGCUGGGUGGUGAUUGAUUUGCUGGAUUCCUCUUCUUGACCUCUUUAACUCUCCUUCCUCCUAGUGCAGAGUAGGAGUAAUUGUAAUAUAAAAUCUAUUAUGUCGACAAAAAAAAAAAAAGAACCAAUUACUCCUAGAGUAGUUCGCCAGUAAGAGAGUUUUAAAACUUUAUUUGGGUAUAGAUCCCAUUUGAAUAUCCAGACUUUUCUGAAAAUGUUUUGCCAACUAUGCAUUCGUCUGAACCGGUGGUAAUUCAUUGGAUUUUCCUUAACCUCUACCAGACACAUUAACUGAAAUCUGAACAGGACUCCACCUCAAUUACCAUCAAUCUUCCUCUUGAAAAAUAUAGUAUAGCAGAAACAGCCAAUUUGCACUCCAAAAAAUGAGUAGCUGAAGAUCAUUCAGAAUGCCAAGGUCCAAAAACAAAGUAGAAUAGAAGAAGUAACCAACAAUUCUCAAAAUGACGGUAAAUAUUAGUAUUUUUUGUAAAACUAACUCCAGCAGCAUAGACUGCAAAAAUGUAUUGUUUCAGGUUGUAAGCCUUUUUAUGCUAAAUAAUUCAUCAAUCUUGCCAGCAAUAAACCCUGAACAACAAUGUAAAAAUAAGUAGGUUCUAUGUAAAUAUAAUCAAUUUAACAUGACGUAAAUAUAAGAAGAUUCUGUACAAAUAUAAAUAGGGAUAAUUUUAGAAAUCUUUCCAGUAAUUGCACUUAAAUACCCUCUAAUGCUGAAAAUUACACUAUCCUCUUUUUUCAGAUAGAUGUGACCAAAUGUUGUGCAUUUUCUGCUAUUGAGAAAAUGAAAUUGAGUCAAAUAUAAUUUUUUUUCUACUUCUUGGUGCCCUUUUGCUGGCAUUGUAACAAUUUGAGGAGUUAAGAUGUUAUACAGUGCCAUUAUUGUGAAAAAAAAAAAAAAAACCAAACUAGCUUUGAUGAGAGAGAACUCAAUAAACCAAUCCAUUCUCAAAAUUGGCGAUCCUUCAUCUAAUAUGAAAAAUCAAACUAACUGUCGUUUUCAUCUGCUCACUUUUGCUUCUUAGUUACCAUUAUACCACUUGAAAUAGUCACAUUUUGGCACAAUAGAACUAUAAUCUAUCCGUAUUUCUUUCACAUUCUAAAAUUCUAACUGUUGCAUUGCAUCUGCAGUAACAAUUUCUAUUUUUGAUCCUCAAUAAUGUUUCUACAUGAAUUGAGUUCCCGUGAUAACUUGAUGAAGACAUACUUGUUCUUCAAUUGUUGUACUAGUCAAUGUGUACUUCUAAUACUUGAUGAGGUCAUAACUCAUUUCACGCAAAAAUGCCUUCUUUGAAAAAUGGAAUGCAUGUUUUUUCACACAUUCUCUAGUUUAUAUGUUGCCAGGAUAGGAUAGAGCCGUUGUAGUUGAUAAUGCAGCGGCUCUUCUUGACUUGAACAAUCAAAAGUUGACUUUUUUUUUUAUAUGUAUUUUUUGCUAUCCUGAGAGGAUCAUUGGACCAUCCUACAUCGAAAGAUUGUGGGGUAGUUAUUCUGGGUGUAAGGUCCCCAGCCGCACCUCCUGUCACCAAUUGAUUGGAUGUUGUUAGUUUGUGGGUCCCCCUUAGAUUGACUUUAGGGUCCAAUUUGACUCUGACUUUAGGGUCCAAUUUGGCGAUGACUCCUGAGUGUUUCUAACAUAAUUGUGUGUGUUACUUAUUCUGUCUAUGGAAAAAAGAGAGGAUCAUUGGAGGGACAAUAUUUUUCCUUUUUUUUUGUUUUAUUAAUUUCAUUAAAAAGUGAUACGUGUGCUCUCUUACGUACAAUGAGGGCAAAUUUGGUAGAAAAUUACGUGUCAAUACUUUUGUCUCAAACUUUAAGGAAGCUUUUCUUGACAAGGGCUAAAAUAAUUAUAAAUAUAUCAUUCAGGAGGAGGGCAGCAUAAUUUCCAAUAUUAGAGGACAUUUAAGCAUAAUUUUUAGAAACCUCAAGGGACGUUUAUGAAAUUAUCCCAUAUAGAUAGUUUAAUAAUAUUUGUAUCAUAAAUUACAUCCAAGUCAUUAGCUAACAACACAUACGUAGUUAACACCAACAAUUUUAGCAAUAAUAUACUUGGCAAUUUUUUAAUCACAUUCGAUAAUUAACUUUGCGUGCUUCUUCAUUUUGACAAUUAAGAGACCGACUCUUAUGGCCUAGGGUAAUAAACUUGUGUUUGGUCAAACUUCCCAUAAAAUACACCUUUUUAUUGGACCUUGGUUGAGAUUAUUCUCCACGCUUUGUAACAGAGUCCUGAAUCCUGAGAUGUUGGUGUCGGUGUCAGGACUCUGGUCAGAGAGGAAACUGCUGGUACGAAGACUCCUGAUUAUAUCAGUUUAAGGAUUAGAAUUGAGAUUCUAUCGCCCAAGUUCUGUAAUUUUCGCGUUAUUGGGGCAGACAUACCUAAGAAAUUGAUAUCUGGAGCUCAAUCAACAAUUUAAUUGCAUCCCUUUUGACUCUCCCCUCAGAGAUUGCAGGCGCAAGUCACAAGGUCUUCAUUUCAUUCUACCCUUCUCUUCAUUACCAGAUGAUAUAUGUUGGUGGAGUUCCCUUUCAGAGUGAUGGGCCAUCUUCCUCCGAGGUAACCUCAAAUUCCACUUCCACAGUCUUCAAACCAAGAAGUAUGAAAGCAACAUAAUGAAAUCUUGCAUGAGUGUUUGUGAUCAUGUAGUUGGGAUACAACGACAAGUUCAUAACUUUAUCUGAAAGUAGCCGAUUUCUCAGAACCCAGUUGGAUUAUAUCCUAUCUGGCCCCAAGGACUGCAUGAUUGUCUUACCUAAACCCUGUGCUGGAGACCCUUUUGAUUGAUUCAUUUUUAUCAUAUUCAAGAAGCAACUGUUAUUAGAAUACUUUAUCUGUUAGUGUUUUGACGAACUCGAUUAAGGAUUUCUGUGGCUUAUUGAAGAUGGGGUGUAUUCGAAACAUUAGGCCCUGCUUUUUUCCUUAGGUUUUAGUAUCUUUUAUAAACCUGGAUAUAAGUGAGGAAAGAACCUUUCUGACGUGAGCUGUAAAAAUUCAGGAAUUUCUCGUUUUAUGUACAUUUUUAGUUUUCAUGCAGGAUAUUAAGUGCAGUGUUUAUUUACACUCUGAUGAUGCAGAAACUAGUUUCUUGAAUGAAACAAGGUGGUAGGAAUCCCAAAUAGCUGAAUCUGAUGAGCUAAUGAGUUUGAGUGAAUAAAAUAAAAUAUGUAACACAAACGCACAGAGUAUAAGGUUGAUAACUGUGAGAGAACUUAUAGAGAGGAUCAGGGUAUCUUGAGGUAAUAUAUGUCAGAAGGACUCUAUCUGCAAUGGAGUUUGAAUUUCUCCAAGUUAAAAAAUUUGGACUAAAUUAAUAUGUUCGUACUCUCACAUACAAUCGUUCAACUGUUGCCUAAGGGCCAAAAGAUUAUGUAACACAUUUGCAUCAGUCUUCUGAAUGGAACAGUUUGUUGACAUAAGUAUGACAUCUCACUUUCUUUUGAUUAUUAAUCAAUGACUUCAUUGCUCUUCAUAUUCAAUUUCUUCUAGGUUGUUGAAUGGGUACAGAUUGGGCUGGCAAUGGCUGUUGUAGCUUAUGUAGAACAAGUGCACUAGUCGCUUUCUAGUUGGUGGGUGGGCUUGAUUACAGUUUCCUAUCUUAGAAGAACAGGCAUUGUCAUGUCAAGUUAAUUUAUUCCCCGUAUUGCAACACAAAAAUCCUGUAAUUAAGUUGUAUAUAUGGUGGAAGUGACAGCAUGUUCAUUCUGGUCCUGUAUUCGUAUCCUCGAGUUGGUUAUUAUUUGGUUGCUUCAUGUAUAUAAAAUAUUUCCUACCAAUAAAGUUGUCUUAGACAUUUGUCUGACAUAAUGUUCUGGAAGCAACUAUGAGCAUCGACAAAUCUUGCUGAUAGCGCUGUUGUUUGUUAACUUCAUGAACACGUCAUGGGAUAUACUUCAGGGGAAAAAAUUCUAGUUGUGGUGUUUGGUUACUCUUUCUAUGUGCAUUUUGAGCAACUAAAUAGACAGAUUUCUUCAAAAGUAUUGCAGUUCACACUUGCUGAUUGCCAACCUGUUACAGAUCAUACAUGCAUUUAUGUAGCUAAAACUUGUUUUUUCUUUGAGAACAUAAGAUUACUAUCAUACCGGUAAAGUAUUAAAAAGAUACUAUUAACUAUAGAGCUUAUCUUUAAGAGUUAAAUCCAAAUUGCAGCUUUGGCUCUAAGAAUUGAGCUACUGCUGGUACCAGAUUUUGGCUUCAAGAUUACUAUCAUACCGGUGAAGUAUUAAAAAGAUACUAUUAAGUAUAAAGCUUAUCUCAAGAGUUAAGUCCACGUUGCAGCUUUGGGUUUAAGAAUUGAGCUUCUGCUGGUACCUGAUUUUGUGUGCUUCAGCAAUUGUUUUGUUUGAACCAUCCAUCAUUUCCCUCCCCAAUUUAGACAUUCGUUGUAGGGUGUUAAUAAUGUUAGUGAAAAGCUAUAUCCAUUUAUAGCCUGCUGGGUUAAGUAAUCCUGUUUCAAUGCAUCUAUUCUUCUGGAAAACUAAUUCUCUGGCUAGAAAAGUUAAUAUUUCUCUAUCUUCCAAGCCACAACUUGCAACUUAAUCGUCUUCUUCUGUUCAUCUCAUUAUGUGGCCAAAAUGCUUUCUCAGUGGAAGUUGAAUAAGUAGAAAUUUGUGCUCUUCUUCAUUAUUAAUGAAAGGCCCUUCUUCUUGCUUUCUGUGGAGAUUAGCUAUCUUAAUUUGAUUCCAAUUGUUAUCAGCAGGGAAGCAAAAUCCUACUUGCUUUGAUGGAGCAUCCUACUUUGGUAUCUGCCUCGUGUUCAUUUAAGUCUACGCCUGAGAGAAAAUUUUCAGCCUCUGAAGACUCUGGUUUGGAGAGAGGGACAGGAUGUAAAUGGGUCUAUGUUUUCCAAAGAGAGUAUGCAACAGUUGAUCCUGCUCUUGUGGAUGUAUGUUCAUAUCAUGUUUGUGCAGUAAGCUGAAAUUUAUCUGGAAUAAACCUUAAUUCCUAAACAUAAAAAUGAAAACAACAGGAAGAUUUGAGAAACCUAGUUGUCUAGAAUAUGUUUUUAAUAUUUUUCUGAGCAAUGCAGCGUAUUGUGGGUCUCACAUUUAAAACUAUGAUAGCCUCUAGCUUUGAAUGCAAUUUUUGACGUAUGCAAGAAGGUAAGUUAUGCCACAACAAUUUUAGAGGAGGAAAAGACAAAAUGUUGGAGUAGCCUCCAAAGAGGAAUAAACCGUGAUGUCAUACUGUUCAUACAUUAUGUAUGUAUUAUACUUCUCUGUAAGUCCAGAGAUUUCAGAUUUAUUUCUUCUUGAUAAUUUCCUAUAACUAUUGAAUCUAAUUUUAAGUAUCUCAAAAAAAAAAAGCCAUGUAAUUUCUCUGCUUUAUCUGGAUGCUAAUAUACUUGUCUAAUUAGGCUGCAGCUUCAGCUUACUCCUUUCUUGGGCAUGUAUACCUAAAGACAUUAGACUUGAGUUGUUCUUCUUCUAUUAGAAACAGUUUGCUUUUCAGGCUCAAGUAGUAUUCUGGCAUUUUGUUUUAAAAGUUUAGUUUCUGUACUCAGGAAGGCACUACAUGUUCCUUGUUAGCCCAAUUGUCUUUCUUGCUAUCUGCUUUCACUAUAUCAUUCCUGUCAUUGAUUUUAAAAACAAAAUGAAGGAAUCCAGUUAUGAACCCAUUUUCUCCUUGACAGCAAAAUUUUUGCAUUAAAAAAAAAUUGUGUUUGUUGUGAUGUGCUUCCAAUAGUUAAUUUGGUUGCCUCUUGACUUUUAAUUGAGAUCCCAGGGUGGUGAUGAUAUUGAGUUCCAGAUCCCAUUUUUUGUUUUUUUGACUAUUUUUUCCUCUCUCUCAUUUAAACUGAACGGGGAAUUCCAUAGGUAUGAAUUAGAGCUUUUCAUGCUAAAACUUCACAGUUUACAUGCUAAAAGAAUUUACCAUUACUUAUGAUUAGUAUACCAUAUACAACGGCCAUGAAAUGCUAGCCGUAUAAAUUUGAUAAGUUGUUUUACAAACAAUUAAUCAACAAAGUACAAAAUGAUAUACAAUUAAUGUGAAACACCGCCAAAUUUCCUUGCAUCAAGAAGACCAAACCUGUCAAAAUCCUACAUAAUUCUAGGGUCUAAUUUCCUUUUGCAUAUUAUUCUAAACUAACAAAAGUCUACUUGUUGAACAACAGUUGUGUAUACAUAUAUGUCAUGUUUGAAUGAGCUUCGACAAAAAAAAAAAAAAAAAAAAGGUAUUCAACAGCAGAUGCAAGCUGACUUUAGUAAAAGUUCUAGAAAACUUAUUCAAAGUUUUAGCAAAUAUAUCUCAUUAAAUGACUUUGAGGGGUGGCAACACAGUGAGAUUUACAAAUAUUAUUAUAAUGCAUGGCUGAAAAGUAAUCAUUUGGUUUUGAUCAUAAUGGGGGGCUCUUCUUGACCAUUAUUUGCCACCCUUUUUCAAGAAAAUUUUUUGGACUUUCAGCUCAGGACGUGAAGAUUUGAUUUGAAUCCUCUCAUAUUUCUCCAUCUCAUCCUUGAUUGAUGGACGGAAGAAAAGAGUUACAGUAGGGUUUUAGGAUUCACAAAUUAAGUUGAAUAAUAUCAGAUUCUUGCUUCGGAAAUAUGCUCGGAAUUCAAAUGCUUUUCGAUAUGAUAUUUAUUAGUACCUUCAAUCAUUGACCAUUACUACAUUUACCAUGUCAUCAUCAUCAUCAUCAUUAUUUUCAUUUUAGUAUUUCUGUAAUCUCUCUAAUUACAUGAGAAGCACGUAAUUGAAUUCCUGGUCCUAUUUUUCUAUAUUCAUUAUAGUUUUUUCUUUUCUCUUGUGGGGUUUCAUAAUUGGGAUCGUACGUUGUUUGGAUAGAAUAUUAUUUGAAAUAUUAUUUGGAAUAAUUACUGUAGCACUUUUUGUGAUAUGAUGUAUGUGAGAUAAAAAUGUGAUUGGAAAUAUAAAAAGGUGGGUUGGAAAAUGUGUUUAUGAUACAAGCGAAAUAUUAUUUGGGAUAAUAACACUAUCCAAACAAACAGUAUCCCUAGCUAGUUCAUGUCUAUACUGGAGCUUAUUGCAUGCAAAUUAACUAACCAAAAUAUAUAAGGAAAGAAAUGGGAACAAGAUAUGAUAUUUUAGCUUCAAGUAUCCUUCAGAUUUCUUUAUAUAACUGAUGACAUCUGGAAAAAGGAUAUGCCCAAAUUUGUUUUUGGGUUUAACAUCAAUUUUGUACUGAUAUCCAAAUUACAUAUAUUAUUAUUGUUUCCUCUCACCAUUAUGCAUGGUCAACGUCAUAAGGCAACAAAAUGAUCGCUUUCUAUUUCUCUUAAUCAUCAACCUUCAUCAUCCUUAAGUGUCAUUCAUAAUAUUAUCUUUUUUAUGAGAUUGGCCGCUUCAAUCAUGAACUCAUUUGCAGACAUGUAAUCAAAACCCUACGUAGGAAUGUUACAAACAAAUAUGCAAGAGGUAGGUGCAUGAUUUGCUCGGUGGUUGGUUGAGGCAAUGCUCCAAAUUGCAACAUGUCUAUCUCUUUGACAUCAUCAUUAAUUCCUCAAUAAAGCACAUCCUUUAUAUAUAUAUAUAUACCCAUGGAAAUGAAUGAAUGGCUUUGUUCCAAAAGAAAAAAAAAAUAAAGCAAUUAAUUUUAAUAUUUUUUACAUUUGAUAAAUUUUUUUUGGGGACAUACUCGUUACAUAAUACUAAUCUUCUAGUAGUACAAUUAAAAGAAUAUUUUUUGGGACAUACUUUUUAUUGGGGCAAUUCCAAUUUCCAAUGCACAUUUUCUUUUCCAAGAAAUAUAAAUUUAUUGAUUGGACCUUCGAAAUAUAUGAAAAGAAAAUUAAGGAAAAUAGAAAACAAGAAAUGCAUGUCAUGUAGAUGUAGUAAAGUGUCUUCCUUCCAUCAUCAUGUGUUGCCUUGCCUACCAUGAAUUACACUCAAAUACAAACAGUUAUAAUUUGUAUGAUUAAACUCCAGAAACUGCAUGAUUUCAUGUACCACAUGCAUUGGCUGUGUGGGUGUGGGAAGUCAUCAAGAAAAACCGAAACUCAUGGGAAGAAAAACCGAAACUCAUGGGAAGAGGGUCAUGAUUAUUUUUUAUUAGUGCUAGUUAUGGAGAACCGACCUUGGACCCCAUCUCAUAAUCUGGAAUUAGUAGUUAAAAGGGACUUAACCUAGUCAUCCAAAUUGCAAAGUUCAACUGCCAUUAUUACAUGUCAUCCAAUCAUUUGUGCUUCGUUGGUUUGUCUAUCUCACUGAUUGCAAAGGCAUCAUCAAUUUGAAGAGAAAGGCAGUAGAUACAAAUAUAGCUUUUUUAUUAUUAUGGAAUAUUAUACAUUUUCUUUGGGGUUAUAUAUAUAUGUAUACACACACACAACUAGUCCUUUUCUUCCCUAAGGGGGCGUCCAUAAUAAUAACAAUGAUUUUUAAUCAUAUCAAUCAAUUAGUGUGAUACAUCUCCUUUUUCUGCAUGACUAGCCAUAGUUACGUUUUGCCUUCUGCUCUUUUACAAAGGUGACAACCAUAUAUAAAAUUUGUAUGCCACAAAGUUUUUUUUUUUUUUUUAUAUAUAUAAUCUAAUCAUGAAUUCACUAGCAGAUCGACAUGAGAACAAUAUAAUUAGUUAAAUCAUUAUUCAAAUAACCCAAUUAGGAAAUCAUGCUUCUCGUUCAAUUUAAUUUACCUUUCUACUCAUUGCGUUGUGACCUCGAAUUAGGUCACUAAAUUUGUUUAAUAUUUGAGUUUGUCACUAUAUACACGGCCUUGUAAACAAUAAAAGAAUUUGUCACCGAUAAAAUGAUAAAAAAUAAAAGUUAAAAAUUGUGUCAAUAAGCUAGAUGGUAGACAUGUCUUAGCUUCUAGUUAUUUAUGUAAUUAUGUCACCCCAAAAACAAAACCAAACAAAAAACAAAAAAAAUCAAAGAAAAAGGAGCUCUUUUACCCUUUGCUAAUUGUUGACAAACUUUUCAUGCCACCAUCUACCCAUUACUUUAACGCUAUGACAGCCCCGACUGUUUUGAUUUGGAUAAGAUAACAGGUUGAACAUCAAGAUUGCCGCCCUGAAAAGUUGUGAAAGGAAAAUGCCUACCAGAAUUGAAAAUCAGCCAUAAAGAAACCAUGUUGAUGUUGAUCACAUACAGCAGAUUAUCUAUUAAUAAAGUUUAAUAUUGAAUGUGGUAAUAUUUUUUUAAAACGUCGUUCAAUCACUUGGAUGAUGAAACCUUAAAGCAAUGCGCGAUAUUUCAAAAAUGUUUAUGUUCUUGACACUCGACAUUCGUUAAGAUGACUUUGAGGUGUUAAUUUUUCAAAAAUACUAUAAGAUCACAUCGAAUGAGUAUCUAAUUAAAUACAAGAGAGACAAUAAAUGUGAAUUUGUGCAUUCAAAUGAUAAUUUUGACAAGGCGUUAUUUUUUUUUUAAACACAGGGAGAAUCCCAGUUUUGCCAGACUAAUCUCCCUACGUCUGUGCAUCCCGCCUCCCAAGGAUACACAAGUGGUAGAGAGGUGAUUCAAACACACGAUCUCGGGACCUAACUAGACUACUUCGAAACCAUCCGAGCCAACUCCAAGAGGUACAAGACGGUAUUUAAACAGCACUUCUUUUGUAUAUCGAACCACCACGAUUUGAGUAUAUAUAUUCCAGGUAGGUACUGUGUGAAAUGAAUCAAUGAACAAGAGAUAUUUUGCAAAUCAAUAAUCUUAUUUUGUAAAAAAAUAAUAAUAAUAAUAAUUAGCAAGGGAAAGAGAAUUUAAACCUAUCUUUUCAAGAUUGAAUAAUCCAUGUAAUGACGAAACAAGACAGGAAUGUGAAUAUCCUCGAAAGUUCAAGGAAACUUUCAUGCAGCCUCCCUUAAUGGGGCCUGACAAAAGGUGGCACUUUCUAUACGCAAUGUAUAAUGAUCUGGACUCCCAGUGGAGACGUUGAAGAGUAGAAAAUUGGAGGAGAAUACACAAUCUGGACUCCCAAUAGAAAUAGUGAAGAGUUGAAAUUUGCAGGAGAAAAAAGCCAUCUUACAACUGGUUUGACUACGAGACUUCAACCCAUUUUUAUCCGUUGAAUUUCAUGUAUAAACAAAUGAUUCGAGGAAAGAAAAUUUGAGUUCGGAUAGAACAAGCACCAAACUUUGUUAGUAUAUUUGAAGAUUUGAGGCGGCAGCAUAAUUAGUUGGUGGACUCGUUAGAAGAAUGUUAUAUAAUGUGGCCAUCAUUAUUCUUGAAAAAUUUGCAAGCGCACUAAUUACACACUUAUUCCCAUGUAACAAGAAUCAUUAGAAAGCAAGCUUAAUGCAGUCACAGUACCAUUUCUUCAUAUAUGUCAUGUGCAAAUUUAGAAAUAUCAACUCGCAAACAAAGUUUUAGUUAUACUUUAGUUUUUAUACUUUAGAAAUGUCAUGUAUUGCAGUUGAAGUCCAAAAUAUCAAAAUCAAAAUAAAAUAACUCAAGAGUGGAAAAAAGGUACGUCUUCCGAUGUGCCAUUUACGCCAUAAUUAUCAUACGUAUGCACAUACUCAUUUUCCUUUUCUACUUUCUUCGCAUUUAAACACUUUAUGUGCUUAGUUUUAUUUUUUUCAGAAAAAAAAAAACUAAUAGUUAAGACUCCUCUUAAUAAGUUUUCAUUAAGCACCGGUUAGUAAGAACGUAAACGAUUCUAAUCAAGCCGAACGUUCUAGUGUUCAAACUUAUUUGAUUAUUUUAACGAAUUUAAAGUUUUGUUUAAAUAUGACUUAAUUAUUUGACGAACCGAAUUUGAACAAGAGUUUUAUCGAAAUUGAAAGCUGUCGAACAUAAUAUGCCGUUCAAGUCUGUCGUGACUAAUUGGCAAACCAACUUCUAAUGAUCUCUUACCAACUCAAUACUCGAUUCGCAUAUUGAGUAGUUUGAUUCGUCUUUUAAUCCUAUCGAUUUCGGUGUAUAGAAUAUAUUUCAUGACAUAAUUAUUGUAAUUAUUAAAUAUAUAUAUAACAAGACUAAAAGAUCUCAACUUCCUUUCUUAUCAGCCAAGUGCAUUCCACACAAUUCGCAUGUAGUGGAGGCAGAUGAUCGCCAAAUGUGCAAAUAAACCGAAAGGUCAAAAAACUUAAUGACCACGAAAUGUGAAGGGCUAAAUUGGAUUUGGUCCACCGUGUUCGCAAUCUAUGAUGGAUUUUUAGGUUGACAAAGCAAUUUUCAAUAAUACCGUUUACGCGUGUUUGUGAUCUUCUAAUAUAUUUUUCUGGGAGAAAAUUUUCCUUGUUUGACGACUGAUGAUUACUUUGUCAUUAUUGCAUGUUUGAAAAAGUAAAUCCUUUGCUCACCACCACUAAUCCUUGUAUUCUUGACUUAUCACCAUAAUGCCACAAUUAUGUAUUUUUCUAGCCCAAAGAAGACAAGUAUAAAAGAGGACUUGAAGGAACAAUCAUCAAAUCAGAAACAUGCCUUGAGGAGGAAGUAAUUCUUGAAGUAUGCAUUUUCUCCGGUGCUAUCAUCAACAAUGUGGUGGGCACUGGGAAGAAGAAGAGGUGUUGCCCAAGUGGUUGAGAAGUAUACAGUUGACUUUCUUAUUAAUUCUUUUAUGGUUGACUGGAGGAGAAUCAACAUAAUCUAAUGGUCAACUUUUACUAAUUCCUAUAUUAAGUACCACAAAUGACCAUUCUCCUGGCGAUCAAAGGUUUUGUUUACAUAUCACAACCACCCCGAAGUGAGACUGCGGGUCCAGUCUGGAGUUCUUUCGGUUGAUUUCCAUGGAAUAAAUACUGCCGCCAGUAUAGACUGCAAACAUGCAUCUUUGAGGAAAAAAAAAAAGGGGAAAGUUCAGUUUUAGGCCUGCUUGAUUGAUGAUUCAAUUCGACACUUUCAGAUCUUAACAUAUUCAGAUACGUUUGAUAAUUAAAAAUUGAACAUUUGAAUUAAUUAAGUGAUAUUGAAUUUUCUAGAUAAAACUUACUCCCAAAAUUAAAUGAUAAUCUAUUCACGUAUCACUCAAUGUGAUAUGCACUCGAAUGUAUCAAAUUUAGUUGUGGCAAAAGUUAGUUCUCAAUGUUCAGCACAUAUGCAAUUUUAGUUCCCAAAGUUUUGACAAGAAUAAAUAUGGGUCUCCCGCUACCAAUUUGAAGCAGAUUAAGGAGAAUUGACGGAUUUCCCAAAUAUCAAUAUGAAAUCCGUCACGGGUCUUUAACAAGUCAAAAACUUCUUAAAAAGGAAGCAAAAUAUUUUUGAAUCUUUUGCGGCUUUAAAUUUUUAAAAUUUCAACUUUUAGAGGAGAAAUACCCGAAUUGUCAACUGCACCAAUCAGUAUUAAGUUUAGUACCUGAAACUGAUCCUUCUCCAAGUGGUCAAAGGUUUUGGUUUACAGUAACCCCGGAGGGAGACUGCAGUGGAGUCUUUUGGGUAUAUUUCCCUGCAAUAAUUGCCGCCAAGUAUAGAAUCCAAAUAUAAAAUACAUACCCGUAUCACCGGAAUCAAGUAAGAACCAAAUCUGCCAAGAAUAGCCCACUUUCAACUCAAUUUUGAUGUAUUGACAGGUAGCUGGAGCUCCAGGUCAACUCUAGCUCUGAUUUUUUGGAGCUUGAGCCACUAGGACAAUGGCCAUGAGCUUUAAGUCUUUAACUUUGGGGUCCAUAUUCUACACAUAUUCCUUACAGCUUCAUGUAGCUUCAUCAUCUACAAAUUACAUAGGUUUCAAAAUUUGUAUUAAGUUCAACUAAUGCUGGAAUUUUCUCAGUUUUCUCACUGCUACCCGGUUAACAAAUUUCUUCAAGCCCAUAACUUCUUCACGCCUGUUACAAUUUCAACCCACAACCCAACAGGAUUCAGGUAAUAUACAAGAAUCAUAUUGUAACAACGUAUUCAUCAGUACAAUAAUACGUUGUAACAAAACCCUCCCCCAAAACACCCACACACACACACACACACAUACCGAGAGACACCAUACCACAUUUGACUAUUUGAGGAGAAAAAGAAUGUAAAUGUUACAAUGUUACAUCACCAAUUAGCUGAUAUUUUAGCGAAAAACCCUCAAUUUUACAACAGCAGAGAAGUAACUCAUCAGCUGUCCAUCCUUUACCGCCUAUGUUCUAGUAAAGCACUCAGUUUCAUGGCCAAGGCUGUAGAAAGUCUAGUAUAUCAUCUCUGCAAAGCAAUAUGAAAAUUAUCAAGAAGCAUAUUGACGUUCUAAUGCUUCAACAAACCUCCAUAUCAAAAUUCCCUUUUAAUGUUUAGUAAUGGCCUAAACCUCAACUCUGAUUAGGAGGAUGUCAGACCAAAUAGCUCACUUCAGUUCCCAGAGGCUGAAUCAUUUCUCAUUUGUUGCUCUACCAUCAGAGGCAAGAGAAGUGCCAAUCUGGUUUUGUAUCUCGCAAUUCGUUGCAGUCUUUCUUCUCUUAAUCUGCAACAUCCAGUAAAGAGCCGAACAGAUUUUAGUGUUCUCCAAUUAAAAGGUGAACUGAAUUAGGUAUUCACGGAGAGUGGUCAAACUAUGCAGCAGGUUGAGAGUAGAUAGUUGUAAAAUUGUUAAUAACAAAAUGUGAAGCGAAACAGUACCCACUCCAAUUUGAACCUUACACAUGCCGAAUUUUUCUUUGAAAGUAAUCUCAUUUCCAAUUUAUUUGCUUUCAGAUUCUGUUGAAAGAUUUAAAAUGUAGUAAUUCAUGCUUUAGUUUUGACUACCAUCAUCUAUAAAUGUUCAACACAUAAGUAACGAUCCUCUUUCCAUCACCUAGGAAAAUAAUCACACUAGGCCAAAGAAAGUCGAGCCCAAAUUUUUAUAUAUAAAAGCUGAAGAGAUUUACCAAUAGUUUCCUCUUGAAGACAAACUAGGGAAAGCUUAGCAGUAAUACAUGGAGAUGUCAAGCCAUAAAAAUUAAAGGUGCUUGGAAGCUAAAAUGUAGAAAGAAAAAAGCAGACUCAGACUGUCUACAGAUAGGUGCAUACAGAGAGCACAUGCUGAGAAAACACUGUGAGAACAAGGCUAGAGUACAAUCAACUUGCUCAUCAUUUAAACGUUAUCAGCUCUAAUGAAAUAUGUAGCACGAGAGUUUUUGGUUUUUAGGGCACUAUAGCAACCUAUCUUAUCCACAAGAAUAAUGCACAAGAAAUUGUAUCUUGCUGGAGUCAAAUUCUCAAAAUCACAAAUUGGAAACCACCAGGAUUCAAAUUGAGGCCCUAUUUGACAACCCAAUUUAGCACUUAAACUUAAUAGAAUCAGAUCUUAACAUAUUCAGGCCGUUUGAUAACCAAAAAUUGAACAUCUGAAUUAAUUAAGUAGCAUUGAAUUUUCUAAGCAAAACUUGCUCCCAAAAUUAAGUGAUAAGCUAUUCACUUAUUACUGAAUGUGAUAUGCACUCUAAUAUAUUAGAUUUAAUAUUUAACAAUUCAAUAACUUAAUGGAUUCAUACUUCAAAUUUCAGUUUUAUCAAACGCACCCUUUAGCACCAUAAAAUUGCAAAAGCAUAUUCCUAUCACGUCAAUAUAUAGUCAGCCAGUAGUAAACAAAGAUUUUUCAUAAGGUGACUUCCAGAUUGUCAAUAACCCAAAUGAACAAAAUUAACAAUGCAUAUAUCAUUGAGGCAUUUGGGAAGAAUAAUUAUCAUAUAGUGACAGAUUUGAUCAUAAGAAAUCAAGGGGGAAAGGACACUUACCGUGAUCGCACCCUCUUAGCACGCUUGAUAUGUGUUUGUAACAGCUCCUCAGAAGUUAAAUUGUCCACAGAUCCUUCUACCUGAAACUUGGAGCAAAUCCGUUCAGAUUGUUAAUAGACAGAAAAAUGUACCGGGGGUUGAAACGGAUGUGUGCAUACACUGAACAAAAUUUCCAUAAAUCAGCAAUUAUUAAAGUGCAACACUCAAAAAUACACAAAGUUAAAGAUGACACAUAUUUCUGCAAUUGACAGAGAAAGAAAAAUGUUGGUUAGAUGUUGCAAUAAAAAUAUAUCACAAUUCAUUAUGAUUUGCUAUGACACUAGCAGAUAUGGAUACGCACUUCACAUUGUUGCAGACAUAAAAAGAUCUUUUAGAGGUUUAACAAUCAUUUAAGCUGCGAUAAACUUCUGAGCUUCUGAGCUCUAACAAAACUGCUACGAAUCUGCUCCAAAGGAGCUAUUCCCUUUUACUUACCCAACCAUCAAUGCAUAGAAGACCUCAAAUGUCACUAACCUAUUAGUACUACCCACCAGUGUCAUUAGAGCCGACACAAACAAAUUCCUACAGUACCUGUACAAUGUGAAUAUUAGCAAAAGAUAUGAGCUACAUCAUUCGUAAGGUAGCAGCAGACAUGAUCCAAGUCCACCUGGUACUUGAAGUGAUUAAUCUUUCUGGCAAAAAAUCCGAACUUGUAUCUCCGCCACCCCCACCCCCAGCCCAAAACCGAAAAAUAAAAAGGGCAUUCAAGCUCUACCCCCUUAACAAAGAAAGAAAAAAAUUCUUGAACAGCAAUUCUAAACUUUUCAUUCCUUCAAAUAUAUUCCUUGACAACAAGGGAAAGAAAAGGCUUUUUUUUUUUUUUGGGGAGGAGGUGGGGUGGGGUGGGGGGAAAUCCAAUGGAUGGAUAGCAAAGAAGAUAUUCUUAUUCCUUCAAAAUAUCUUCUUGUAAUAGCAAAGAAGAUCCAAAGGUUAUUAUAUGGAUUCCUUUGAAUAGCUACAAAUAAUGUUCCCUAAACAUUGGUUCUUCUUCAUAACCAAAAAGGCAACAAUUAAGCUCCUCUAUGCCACCAUGAAAGAAACUUAUCAGCUGAAAACAUCAAUCCUUGUCAAUUAGAUGAUAUGUUCAACCAAAUUUGAGCAAUAAUGACAACAAAAGGAAACACUUGAAAUGUCAUAUAUAAAGGUCAUGUUUCAUAGAAAGGUAAACUUGUGCUACAUUUGCAGUGCAUGAUUAAACUAACCUCCUCUUCUUCCUUAGGAUCGUCCUUUUUCACGGGUGAAACAUUACCUUGGACAGGUAAUGGCAAAGGUCGGGGAAGAGACCUAGCUGCAUCCAUGUUUAUUGGCUGCCAGCAAAUUAUAAAUUAUGCCACCAUAGACCUCAAAAAAAAAAUACACUGCUAAAAAGAGGAGAGAAGAAAGAGAAGAAAAUGGUUCACUAUCAACAAGUUAUAGGAAAAUGUUUUAUGCAUUGUUCAAAAAAGAGGUUUUGCAGAGGAAGUUAAUGGCAUAUUUAAACAUAAUUGACGAUAGUAAACACAUAAAGUAUCCAUUUGAGCUGGAAAAAGGAAAAAAAAAACACACACACACACACACUCUUGAAAUUAAGUAUCCUAGGAUUGUCAAAAAACCAAAUGGCAAGUCAUAAACAGGUAUUUGCACAAUCAGUGAUCUGUACACAAGAUACAUUUUUCAGACGGCUUUUGGCCACAAUAUACAAACCAUCACUUGAGGAUAAUGAAGAACAAUUGCAAGUUUUUCCAACAAAUUAUUAUCUUUCAUAUAGUUGAGACUACAACUUGCAUUUAAAUAAUUUUUUUUAAAGAAAAGAAAGAUUUUAGAGUCACAUAGUAGGAAAGGAGUUUUACAACUAUUCCACCAAACUAAGGACCUUUUGGGUUAAUGAUUUUGAUCUUAUAAUUAUGCUUAUGCUGAAAGUACAAAUCAUAUAGUAAACAGUUUGAAGAGAACAUUGGUUUAGUUGACUUCUGUUAUAUAUAUUUGAUUAACACCAAAUUGAAAAUUUCAGGGGAAAAAAGAAAGAUAAUCAAAUACACGUCAAAGAUUCAGAGUGUAUAUGUGUGUGUGUUCAUAUUCAUGAGCCUGUGUGUGUAAAAGAAUAAGUAAGGUGGGAGUAGACUAAUGGGAUCAAAUAAAUGUCACAAAUAAGGCAAAUGUUUGAGAUUUCUUAUUUUGGGGUUUGUAUCCUAAACCUUUGGUUUAAAAAUUAAGUUUCAGCUCUUCUUUAUAUAGGACUAAAUUCUUAUGUCAAAUGAAUUAGCUUUUGAGAAGUAACUAAGAAAAUGGAAAAUGGCCUUUAGUAUUGAUCUCUUCAAAACAGUAAAACAACUCAGAGCUGAAAGGGACCCAACUUUCCUCAAAACAAAAUUUGAAUCCUUAGUUGAAUAAAUGUGAAACAGAAACUGCAAUCCAAUCAAGAAUGAUAAACACUAAACUCACUCCUAAAAAAGGGAUUAGUCUCAGAGCUAAUCAUUUUAGAUCCUUAAAUAUCUUUUAUGAACAUCUAAAUCUAAGUCCUCUGAACACCAGCCACUGAUAUUUAUUAAGUCAAAAAAGUACUGCAACAUAGCAGCACAUCAAAACAUGUGCUCCAAAUAAUUGCAAACCUGACUUUCUUCAGGAAAACCAUUCCUCAGCCACGAUCGGCAGUGGGCAUAAAGAGAAGCACUCUGAGAUACUCGGACCUAUCAUAGAAUAAAGAGGUAAAAAUCACCAACAAAUACUACAAGUGAUAGUCUGAAUGCAGCAAAAUUGGUCCCAAUACACACUUAGUUAGUUGUGCUAGUAAGUUUUCAAAAAGAGAAAUGUGAUACAUAUUAAUGAGAUCAAGGCAAGUCAUUAGGACAAUCUACCCUAUAUUGAAACUAUCCUAUGGGUGACUGAUUCUUUGAUGCUUAUCCUACUUCUCUUCCUUCGCCAAAUAAAGACUUUCUUCAUCUAAUAGGCAUAUCCCAUUAAACAAAUGGAGUACCCAGUUAUCUUUCAUUUAAAAAUUGACCAGCAUAAUGAAAACUAUAAUCCAAAAUCCAAGCCAUGAGACUUCAACUAUCAGUGCAGGAAAGAAAGGCAAGAUGUACAACCUUAGACUAGACAGCAAAAUUGUCAAGGUAUAUCAAAUUUAUCUCUGUGCCUUUUCCAUGGAGAGAGAGAUGUAAAAUUAGGAAGUUCAGCAAUUGUUAAUGUUUUUUUGCCAACUUUGUCAUACAUCACUGGAAGUCGAAAAUGCAAAACAUUGUCUACAGAAUAUAAUCUCUUUAUCACAUUAAAAUCCUUACAAUUUUCUAUUGCAGCCAAAAGAAUGGUUAUAAAAUGCAUACGAACUGCAUCCACUAUCGCGAUUAAGAGCAAUGAAAAGACUCAGAGCUUACUUACCUUCCUAUCUCUAAUAGUUACCAAAGAAUCAUCCCUGCCUCUUUCCCUGCAAAAGCUAAAAAUGCAGAUGUAUGAUUUGUUCUGCAAAGAAACAAGUGCAUAGCAAAGAGAAACCUGGAUACUAAUUCAUAAGCAAAAAUAGUUCAAAGUGCAGCUUUACCUCAUUUCUUUGUGGCCAUUACUAUCAGAAACUGGAGUAGAUGAAAGGGAGACCUAGCACCCAAAAAAAAGAAAAAACCAAAAUUGUUCAGAAGAUAGCACCAAAAUCAAGGAGCUACAUCAUAGGAUUCCGUACACUGUCGGUCUAUGCACCAAGCAAUUAAUUCACAAGAUGGAUCCAAUUCCCUAGUCAAAUUGAUAUGGGAAUACUAUAAACAAAAAAAGCUAAGACAAAACAACACAAAAUGAUAGAUUAAUCCUGUCUUUAAGUAAAAAGUAAUGCAUAUAAAUGCUCUCUGAGUGAAAUAUUAUCAUCACUGCACAACUAGAAAUCUUUCACUUCACUUAGCAGAAUAAAUGGAUGAGGAAGAAAUAGUUGAAAGACACUGUGAAGCUCAGCAGACAAUCAUAUCACACAACAAGUUCAAAAAUUGCAAAUUAUCUUACGAAAUCAACAAACCUGAUUAUUUAGACAAUUACCAAAUGCAAGUAAUGAGAUCUCCAUGUUUUUCCUAGCAAAUAUUGAGAACCUUAUGAAAUGUAAAUUUCUAACCAGUAGUAGGCUUUAUAGCAAGCUAUCCCCAGGGAAAUCUAGCAAUUGGAUAUCAUUUUUCCAUUUUCAAGAACUUAAACAAUACUAAAUUGUUCAUUCACUUUCAGAAGAGAUUCUUAAUUGUCCACUGGAAAUUCAAAACUGGAGGCUACAUUAAAACAGUGUAAUGGGGUCAUGUUGGAAGAUAGCCAACUCCUGUGGUAGGAUGUGGCCUUUUUAGGACAAGCAAGAAAUCAGUGACUGGGUAACAAACAUGUAAACCAGGAAAUAAAGAAGAAACGCUGGUUUGUGCUCAUUUCACCAACUCUCCAGAAAAAUCUCAAGCUUUCAGACGCAGAAGGAUAUUUAGUUUCAGAUUCCAAAUUUCAACAAAUUCAGAAAAUAAUAAAGCAUUCACUUCAAGAACCUCACAAAGCUAAAUGAGUACAGAAACAGAAUAAGGGGAGGAAAGGCAUAAGGUGAUAUUGAAGGAAGGAAAGGAAAAAUAGAAGGGGAAAAGAAAAGAAAAGAUGAUGGAGAAGGAAAAGCAGGAGAGGAGGUAGGAAGCGAAUCAGAAGUCAGAACAAAAUGAAAAUUACAGAGAAUGAGCGGAAAGAGAGUGAGCAAUGAUCUACACAGAACAACAUGGAAACCCUAAUUUCCACGAACGAUCUGAUGCUUACUCAACCUAAGCAUUUUCUAUACAACUCAGUAGAAACCAAAGACCCUAAUGCAGAUCCAACGGAUAUAAAGCAGAUCCAGUGGAUAUAAAAUGUACAAAAAAGGUUGUUUUUCAGCACAUGCACUUAGUGAUAAAUUGCACGUGUUUUUAUCCGCUGCAGCUUGGUACUGAAAAAGUAUUGUGAUAAGAAUCAUCCUCCAACUACAGAGGGCAUGUAGAGAUGCGAUGGAUAAACUUAAAAGACAAAUUUUUUAACAACUUUGUCUAAGUAACCAAAAGCACACCCCAAAGUUUUAAAAUACAGACCCUAAAACAUAACACACACCAUCUUCAGGUCUGUAUUUUAAAACUUUGGGGUGUUUUUUGAGGUUGCUUAGACAAAGUUGCUAAAAAACUUGUCUAAUAAAAACCCGUCAAGAAACAGGGGUUCCAAGCAGACCCUAUGUCCUCCAAUAUAUAAAGCAAAUAUCAAAAGUGCUUAACUACUUCGAGUAAUGAUUAGUUCAUAUAAGUUCGUAACCCAAAAAAACUCCUCAGCAUGAAACAUUGCCCUAUCUUCAGAUACCUGAACAAAAGAUUGACAAUGCUAAUUUUGUGCCUUAAAAAAUGAUUACCACAUUAAAAGAUUUGAUUUCUAAUAGCUCCAAAAUGUGAAUCUUCUCCUAUCCCCCUAAACAACAUCUCACAGUGCUGAGUAGAAAACAGUACCUCAGAAAAUGCUAACCAUUUCCAACGUUCAUAGUGCCUUUUCAUGCUAUAAAAUGCUAUCACUCUCCGUAUCUCCCACAAUUCACAAAAAUAAUUCAAUGAUGAUAAGGAUCCAGCAUAAAUAUACACCUUAUACACUAAAACCUAAAGCCACAUCUCUAAAAAUGUUUAUUGGGACAACCUGUCUAUUUAAUUGCAAGCUAAAAAAAGGUACAGGGUCAAGGUCCUCAAGAAUCUUAGCCAUUUGGGAAAGGUGUAAAGAACUAUGCAAGGUGCUCUACAUGAGAAUGUCCAAUGUUGCAGGAAACGUUAUAUUGCUUGUAUUUAAACAGCUUGUGCAUUUAUUAACUGGGAUCUUCUAAUGAGAUCACAAACAAGGUUCUUGUUAUUAUCACGGUUGUGAAAGUCAAAGAAACCACGGCUGGUUCACCACAAGUAAUCGAGCUCCGAGGCUUAAGAGGUGUCUCAGAAAAAAACGAUGUCAUUAUCUGAUGACUCGUCUCUGUUCUUCUAAUUACACUUUGUCCCAAGUGUUGAUCAAAGUUCAAAUACAAUUCUAUAUUAAAGUUCAGUUUCUCUUUUCUUUUUCUCAUGGGUUAGGGAGAAGCCCCAAAUAUGUGUUUUAAAGUAAACAUAAAAAAUGAUCGAAAUUAAAAGAUUCAGAUGUCAUGCACAAAUGAUAAGUCAAUUUUCACAAGACAGAUCUGCAGCCACUAGGUUAUCAGAAUUGUGAUUUGAACUGGUUGACCACUCUCCAUUUUAAACAUGGAAUUAAUAAACAGUAAGUAAUUGAAAAUAGUGAGUAAAUUGGCCAAAAAUGGUUAGAAGAUCCAAAGUUACACCAGUAGAUGCUAUAGUCUAUAUGUGAGGCCAUAAAUAUUUAAAUGCAGCAUUUAACAGAUAUUUGCAGCAUGGAUAACUAUCAUUGUCAAAGGAAAAAAAAAUUAUUUUACACUUGAUGUCUCCCCUUGUUCAAUUCCUGCCCAUCUAAAAUUGGAUGUGGAAACUGAAAUUGGUAAUACUCAAUACCAUGCUCCUUACACUUGAAUCAAGCAACUUUCAAUUCACCGAUUUGUUCACCCAUAAGAGAUAUAAAUGCUCAAAUCUCCAUCCAAGCUCAAAGUUGGUCAGUUACUUUCAAUUCUUAGCAGCUUUACACCCGAUGAUAGAAAUGUUAUAUGCGCCUGGUCUGUUGACUCAAUAAUGUCACUUCUUCAGACAUUAGGAAACUUUGUAAUUUAGAAGAAGAUUUAGCUGCUGAGAGGUCCAAAAGUAGAGAAAGUAAAGGAUUUCCCAGUAAUAGCUGAUGCAUCAUCAUUUUCUUCCUGAAAAUGUCUAAUGAAAAAAUGGAUAAAGAUUAUAUCUCCACUGCAAUUGAGCUUUUAAUAACUCAUAAUCUUCCGAAUCUUGACAAAUGGAAAAAAAGUGUUUGCUCUACUCUAAUUGGCAAGUGAUAAAAUUUCCAUCUCCUAUUAGUAUAACCAUCAGGGAGUAAACUGUAUUUGCAUAAUUGGAUAUCAUUCUGUUGGGACCUCAAAUGCCUGACAAAAGAAUUCCUUUAGAAAAGUGACAAAGCUGAAUCCUAUUCGCAAUAAAAAUAGAUAUACGAAGGUAGACAAGACACGUCAAAUACAAAUACAGGUUUUUCACUAUGACAUUUGCAUGCAAAUGAAUGUUUCAUCUUACUUCAAACCCUUAAAUCGAUUAUGAAUUGAAGCACAGUUAUACCUCCAUAUAUGUCAUGCACAAAACUGCAUGAGCAUUACUGGUCAAUCAGUAACCAAAAAUCAGAAAGGAAUUAGAUAUAAGGAUAAGCAAGAACGCUUUCAGGACCAAGAAAGCUUAGACAAAAAUUUUGGAUCCAAAGAGAAACAAUGCAUAUAUUUGCAAUGAAUGUAGUAAAAUAUGCAUCUUAUAAUCAGCUACUCCAAGAAUGUUCAAUGUUACAACUCACGCUUGUACUGGUCUCUUCAAAUCAAGCGCAUAUAAAAACUUAGAUAGCCAAAACAAUGAAGCAUAAAGCACAGAAAGUGAUGCAGGACAGCUUAAAUUUUGAAACCAAAACCACCUACUCUGGACAGAAUUUAGCAUUUUAACAGAUCACUAAAAGGUCAGGCUGGAGUUUAAUAUAAUAAAGUCCUACCAGUUUCCAAAAUAACCGUAAUUCUCAUCAACGAAAAAUAUAGAAAACCACACAGUUAUUUAGCUAAAUAAAAACACAGAAAAGCACACAGUUAUUUAGCUAAAUGCAAAUCAAGCUCAAUUAGAUUGGAUCAUAUUUGACGGAUUUUUGGAUUAGCGGAUUUAUCUACUCCUAAUUCAAACUAGUGGUGUAAUUGAGUGCUCAAAUUCGAUUUGAAUUAAAAAAUUUGGUCAAGAGUUCAAACUCUUGAAAUUUGAGCUCGAAUUCAAAUUCAAUUAUAAAUUGCAUUGCUCGAAUUCGAGCUCAUGCUCAUCAAGCCAAAUCAAACUUGUUUCGAGCUCAAUUGAGUUUAGUUUAACCUAAUCGAGUUUAAGAAAUAUUAAUUUAUAUUUUAUAUAAUUUCAAAAAGAGACAAAAUAUAAAUUUCAUACUAAUAAAUGAAUAAAAUUAAGAAAAACAGAUAUAUGUAACGCUCGAUUGAACUCGAUGGCCUUUCAAGUUUCACAUAUUAAAUUUGAACUAAACUUGUCAAGUAGUUUGAAUUACUUGAAUUCAAGUUUGAACUUGGUCAAUGCGAGUUCGAGUUUGAAUUUGGAUUAAGCGAGCUUGCCAACUACUAGAUUAAACUCGACUCAUUUGCACCCCAAGUUCAUACCCUCACUUUCUUAGAAGAGAUUUGGAUUAGGUGGUAAGAUGAAUAGAAUUGUAAAUAAGAAUUUUUGAAUUUAAGACAUCUCACAUAUUUUUUUUAAAAAAAAAAUACUCGGUUUCUCCUCCUUAGCCAAUAGGAACCCAAAAGAAGGGGCCAUUUCUCUUGAACACGGCCCAAAAUUUUCUCCAUCCUCGUGGGUCUAGGUUAGGGCCGAAAAGAUUUGGUUGUAAUUGAAGGAGCGAGUCACUAAUACCAUUAACAAGGCCUUUUAUACUCCCAACAGAAAUCAGCUAAACAUUACCAUGUGCUCCAUGCUCAAAUCCUGAGGAUUUUCCUUUUUUUUUUUUUUUUUUUUUAACAAACAGACCAUACGAUUUAUCUCAAGUUUACGUAAAAGAUAGUUCUACAUGGGCAGCACUUUUUUUUUUUUGGUUGAAAGUAACUUACCUUCCGAAAUUGUAUCAAAAUUCUUAUUCUAAAGUUGGCUGUCCAAAAAAAAUAUAAAAGAGUAACUUUUUUUAGAAAUGCACUCAUUAAUAUCCCCAUGAUAGUCCAUUAUUUUUGUAAACUUUUUUUCCACCCAUCUCAUAUACAACAUGCAUUGACUUUUCUCCUGUUGAAGGGGUACUAAGAUUGAAAUAUAUUUUUCAAAAUAUUCUACUUACAUGUCCAUUUUAUAUACUCAAAGCUCUAAUGUCAAUUUACAAUUUUUCACUCCGCUAUUAUAGACAGUUUCAUCCAUGAAAUUUUUUAAUCAGCCCGUUAUAUUAAAGAGUUUUUUUUUUUUACUUUUCCCCGAAUCAAAUUUGUGAAAAUGAACUUGACGGUAAUAUAUUAUACAUUAUACACCAUCUUAUUACCAAAGAUAUGUUUGUAUUCCUUUUGAAUAAUAAACUUAAGUAAAAAGAAGUUUAUCCAAAUUUAGCUCUUACCUAUAAUCAUUGCCAAAAGCAUUAUUUAGAAAAUUAUUAUGUUUGGAUAGUAGAUUAUUUAGGAUACUUUUGUGAAAUAAAAUACUGUAACACUUUAUUAAUAUAAUGUAUGUAAGAAAAAAAGACGGUUCAAAAAUGCGUUUAUGAUGCAAGUAAAUAAAAUUUGGCAAAUAAAACACUAUCCAAAGAAAGUUUCCUUGUAUUCCUGCUGUUUUUGCUAUUCCAACAAAUUAGGUAUAUAUUUUGAAGAACUUAAUUGAAUUAACCAAAAACUUACUAAUCCACUUGGUCUUUUUUUUUUUUUUUGAUGGAAAAGCCUCUCCUAUUUCCACAUCCAAUUGCAAGACUUUACCUAACGAACCCGGCGACAAAACAACUAUAGCAAUCAAACCCAUUUUAGUCAAUUCACACCACCAACCAUAUCAAUCCAGGCGCUUUACGAACAAUUUGAAGAAUGGACAAAGCAGUGAAUUCUUCAAAUCUCCAAGGCCAAAACCGUCCUUUAAAAUCACCAACACACGGUAGAAAAAUAUAAUAGUACUUUAAAAAAAAAAGAAAAAGGAAAAAAGAAAAACUUGCGUGCCCCCAAAUUAGGCCCGCUCUCCGCUCGUAUAUAAACACGCACUCACACACUGCGAGGCCGAGACGUAACUCCCAUUCUUAAAACUCCCUCUGUUCUUCGGUUUUUUCUCCUCUUUUAUUUCGAAAACAUUUAAAUUAAAACCCAAAAAAGAAAUAAAAAUAAAAAAGACGACCAAAAUUAACAAAAUUUAAAAGGUAAAGAGAGCUAAAGAUUCUUUCUAAAUCUAAAGAAAACGAAGAACAUCAACAACUCGAACCAAACCAAAACCCUAACUUUCAGAAAAACAAAUGGAGACUCAGACUCCACUUUUCUUCCUUCAUAUCCUCCUCUAGACAAGGACUUGUUUGUUUGCGUCUUUUGAAUCCAUAUAAAUACAGAUAUAAAUAUAUGUGUAUAUAUGUAUUAUGCGUAUGCUAUCUGGGUGAAGGAAAAUAUUAUGUCAAACGCGGCCGAUGUGGAUACGAAGGAGUUAAUAUGGAGUACAUGGGAAGAACUAUUACUAGCGUCCGCGGUGAAGCGGCAUGGCUUGAAGGACUGGGAUACGGUGGCGAGGGAGCUCCAGAACCGCCAUCGCCACCGUAGCAGCAGCUCUUUGCCGCCAACCUUGUUCACCGCCCAAAUUUGUAAAAACAAAUUCAAACACCUUAGACGUCGCUUCACCAACAACCACCGUAGUGCUAGUAAUAAUACUGCCGUAACAGCCGGAGCUGGUGGUGUCGGCGGCGGCGGAGGAGAAAGUGAGAAUAAUGAGCUGCCUCGUGAGGCUCAAUCUGAUGAUGAUGAUGAAAACGACGGUCUUGGUGGUGGUGGCGGCGGCGGAGGUGGUGGUGAGGGUGAUUGUUUUCCUUGGCUCGAGGAGUUAAGAAAACUCCGCGUAGCUGAACUUAAACAAGAGGUUCAUCGAUACGAUCUUUCGAUCCGGUAAAUCUCGAGGAUAUGAUAUCAUUUAUACGUUAAUCUGCUUUUACUUAAAUUUUUAAGAAAUUUUGAAUAUUUUUGUUUUCAAAAAUAUUUUACGUGAAAAAUUGAGCUUGUGGAUCGGAUCUGUGAAUUGAACAGGUCGUUGCAGAUGAAAGUGAAGACGAUGGAGGAGGAGAGGGAGAAGAGUCUGAGGGAGGACGACGACCAACACGACGACGUGAAGAAACCAGAUCUGGACGAGGAAGUAAAGCAGGAGAGAUCAGAAAACGACAAAAACGAUGGUAAAGACCCGCCGGAGAUGGUCGCCGGAAAGUUUCUAUCCGGCGACAACGACGAAAACAUGUCGUACAACGAGUCUAAUUCGACGGAGAGCAAGCGAGCCGGAUUGAAAGUCGAACCGAAGAACGAACCGGCCGAGGCGGAACCGGAAUCCGAGUCGAAACCGGUCGGGGAAGAGGUCUCGUGCAAUGACAGUUCAGCGAGCCAGGAGAGGGGGAAGGGUGGGGGAGACUCGCGCGAGUUGCGUGACUCGGUGGGAGAAGACGAGUCGAAGGAAGGGACGAAGGAGAGCAGCGACGUGCAGAGUUCAGCGAGUUUGUUGACAAGGAAGAGGAGAAGACGAGGAGUUGACGGUGGCGGAGGCGGCGGUGGAGAUGGGGUGGCGGUUUUGUCGCCCGCUACCGCCCCAAUAAAACGGGAGGGUGGCGUGGGGGGAGCGGUGAAAUCAGAGCCGUCAGCGUUUGGGUUUUUAGAUAAAAUUCGGUCGCAUAAACAUGGCUCGGUGUUCGAGCGCCGGCUCGAAAGUCAGGUAAUGAUCCAGUACUUUUCGGUUCAAUUUUGCCAAUUUGGUAAUGCCUAAUCAUCGUCCAAUGUGUGGCAUAGAAUUGAUUUAUUUUUUAUUUGAUCGGUCCCACUUAGGAAUUAGGAUUAUCUUUGCUACUUUUGUGCGCUUUUAUGAAAGAAAAAGAGGAAGGAAACGCGCCACAUAAAUUUACCAAUUCAUUGAUCCACAAAAGGGGCAACUAUAAAAAUCUUCGUGAAAAAAAUGCCUAAGUUAGAAAACAAGGAGUGAAAAUAUUUAAAAAGUUUGAUAGGUUUUCAGGGAAGAAAAAGAAAAAGAAAAAAGACAAGGUUGAUUUGACGGGUCCAUCCAUAUUAAAAUAAGUUAGCCCUAUUUUGGAAAAUUCUUUUAGAUUUAAAAGAAAGAAAUUAAAAAUUUCAGUCCAAGGAGUUUAUUGAAAAAAAGGAAAAUAUUAUUGGUGCAGGCUAUGUCAAUCAAUUAUGAGCCAGCGCGAAGUUUAAAUUUAAACUGGUGAAGUUAGGUCGAGGUCCUAAACCUCACUCACGGGAAUGAGAAGAAUUGUAAGAGACGAGAAGAAUUGUUUUUUUUUUUUUUUUUUUUUUUUUCAUAGACAGAAGAAGUAACACACAUAAUUAGGUUAGAAACACUCAGGAGUCAUCGUCAAAUCGGAUUCUAAAGUCAGUCUUUAAAAUCAGUCUAAGGAGACGAGAAGAAUUGUAAGAGACGAAAAUAUGGUAAAUAAUAUAUAUAUAUAUAUAUUUUUUAAAUUUAAGAAAGAAGAAUGAAUGGUGAAUAAAAGUUACCAAACUAAAGACAAAGGAUAGAAGGGAUUUGCGUGUGAACUUUAAAGGCCAAAUGGGGUAUGUGGAAGGGGAUGGACGAAUCAAAGCCCAAAGGGUCUAGAUCCGUACGUGAUGGCACGUACAGAUGAAGUACCUGGCAUGGACUAUGGAAUCUGGACUUACUAAGUAUCAACAUAUUUGUGUUUUAGACUAUGGGAUGGGUAAGCUUUUGUAAUAUGUUAUCUUUAGGAUUUGUUUCCAAGGGAUAUUUCGGGGUAGAUAUCCAUAGGAGGGUGUUUGAGACUUUGAGUUGAAAUUUGUGAAAAUCAUAAAUACUACCUCACAUUUAGUUCCAUUAAAAAGCCAAAACAGUUAGUUAUUUUCACCGUUGUUAGCCUAAACUCGAUGGUUUUAUUUUUUGGGAUCUUUUAUACUUGGGGGCCACCGUAUUUUUGUGUUUUUGCUUGUUGGCUCAAAUCUCGAGGAGAGAUAACGGUGACAAGUGGAGGACGCUUAUUAGUCUAGUCUGGUGUAGAUAUGAAGUGGCAUUGAGCAGCAUGGUAGUUUAGGUUAGAUAGCUUCCUAGAAACACACGUGUUUCCAUUGUAUUGCAAAUACGUUUUUUUUAAUAUAUAUAUAUUUUAAUUUUUCAACUAUCCUUUUAUUUUAAAUAUAAUAUAUUAUAUUAUAAAAGUGUUAUGGUAUUUUUUUUAAAAAUAUUAUUAUAAACAGUCUCCUCCUGCGUGCCUGGGUUCAUGAAAAUUAAUACUUGCAUUAGGAAACUAUACACAGGUCGUAUCGUGUAGCCUCGCGCGGAAGAAGCAUGAAACGUUAGUGACUAGAACGAAGCAAGUGAAAAGUUAGCCCCCACUAGGCGUUGGAUGGUGACUUCUUUUAAUUGGUUCAAGGGUUUAAACUGCUAAGCAUAUUCCACGGGCAUUGGUUAACUUUGUGGGCUGGUAACGGUUGCACGUGUAAUCGUUUUUAAACAUUUAAAAUUUGUAGUAUGAUUUUAGAACAAGGAUGUAAAAGCCUGCGACUUUUUCAUAGCCUAGCGAAAAAUACACUAAAAGCCUAGGCUGUAGAUCGUGGACUUUGAAUUUUGCAUUUUGUUACCUAAUCUUGGCUGUUAAUACCUCCGGCUCCGGUUGUGUGUGAUAACAAUAUGAGCCCCUUAUCAAGUUAGAAUUCAUAUUUUCGAAAAUGUAAAAUUAGAAAAAAGAUUUAAUUUCGAGAAGUAUAUUAAAUAUGGUAUGCAUGUUUAUUUUUGGGCAAAUUAGCAUACUGAAUUAGUACCCCUUUGACACCCGUUAAAGAGCUUUCUCGAUUUAAUUUAUUUGUUAUUCCACUGAUAUGAGUGAUAGUUGCAUGAAAUAUGCAGUUCGUGACUUUUCAGUACGGUUCAAUCUUUGUGUGGAAAAUUUGUAGCGGUAGAUUAUAGGCUCAGGUACCCCAACCCCAACAACAGGAUAGAAGAAGAAGAAAAUAUCUAAAUAGUUGGAAAGAAUUUUGGUGAGAGUUAGUUAAAGACUGGGGAAAUUAGGAGCGACCCCGUAGAGUACGUCGAAAUGCUGCUAACCAGUGGAUGUUGGAUCAGAGUUGGACCGUUCGCUACGUAAUCUUAAACACGUGGCGGAGGGCGUAGAUCGAUUUUGGGUUGAGGGCCCCAUCGAAAAUGUCUUUUAAGGUGUUCUGGACUUUGUGUCCAUGGAUAUCCAAUGGUUUUUGCUGGAUAUUGGAGCCAAUAGAAUGCCUACCCAAAAGUCCGUGUGGAUACCAUUCAAUUCAUACUGGGCUUGGCCUAGCUUCUUUAGUCUCCGACGAAAGCAACCCAAGUUUAGCGGGUUUGAUGGUUUUUUAACCCGUCGCUGUCGGCUGGAAUUUAGUGUACGUCACCACUCACCAGUCCGUCCAGGUGGUGAGGAGUCAACGGGGUACACGAUUUUUAAGUCUCGAGCUCUUUUAUUAUUGUUUACGAAACACUAAAUACUUUACUCGAAUUUCUAGGUUCCAACAUAAUUUCCAUUUUGGUUGAUCGGAAAUUUAUUUUCUAUCCUUUCAAAACUCUUAUACUAAAAACAUCAUCGUUUAGGUCCACGUGUUUUAUUUUAUGUUUGUUUUGAGUUUCAGUUAACUGAUAGAGUGGACAUAAUAUCUGGUCUUGUUUUAAGUGUAUGUAUGGAGUGGAAUUGGAUAUUGAUAAUUUGAUAUGAUUAAUAUAAAUACAUAUAGUUACUCUUUUGUUUCCACAUACUACUCUUUCGUCUUAAGAACUAUAUAUAUAUAUAUAUAUAUUUUAUGUCAAACAAUAUAUUAAAUUAAGGUAUUAGCAAGACGUAAAGGCAUUCCAUUCUCAACACGCAUCCUAUGGUAUGUCAUGUGAUGUGAUUUACUGGUAUUAAUUAUUAUUAUUCUCUAAUAGAGGUGGAUAAUAUAUUAUUUACUAUCUACCAAACAAGGUAUGAGCUAUCUCUAUUAUUUGCUGAUCAAUAAUUACUACUAAUAUGCCACAUAAUAUUGCCAGCCAAAUGGUAUACAUGGAGUCAUUAAUCACUUAGAUGCUUCAGUCUUUAGAUAAUAUAUAUGGAUUAAGAGAAAUUUUAUUUCGGUCCAACCUAGUAGUAUGGCACUCUUUAAGGUCAAAAGCGAAACCUUACCUUAAAAUCAGUUACUAGUACCAUCAAUUGGACGAACAAGGGCUCCAUAAUUUCGUUUAUAGAAGAUUAUAGUAGUAGUUGAGGUGGAAGUAGUGAAUGUCGGACUGAGGGAAAAAAAAAAAAAAACUUCUCAUUAUUGUUUAAGAUACGUAGGUAUAUAAUAUAUAACCACCAAUAUUUGUCUCGCAUGCCUUGUCACCACCAACAUCGAAAAUCUUCAUUAGAUUUGUGUUAUAGCUUAUUUAUUCACAUCCAACAUGUACUAGUGCGUACUUUGUGUACAAAAAAAAAGGUGGAAUAAUGCGCUGAUAAACCUUUUGACUUUAAAUGCAGAAAACGGAAAAGUACAAGAGCACUAUCCGACGUCACGUAGAUCUUGAAAUCGUUCAAGCCCGGAUUGAUGAUGGAUCCUAUACAUCAUGCUUUUUGAAAUUUUACAAAGACCUUUUUCUUCUCUUCACCAAUGCCAUUGUCUUCUUCCCCAAAUCAUCUCCCGAGGCAUUGGCCGCUCAAGAGCUUCGUCAACUUGUGCUGAAAGAGCUCAAGAACGCCUCAUCUGGUCCUUCACCUCAACCCUCCUUGCCUGCAAAACCAAAACCCAAACCUGAAGUCGAAAGAUCCGACUCGCUGCUCGCGAAGCAUAAAUCCACAAACCCCAUUUUCUUCAGCCGCAAGAGAAGCUCAAUUUCAGCCAAAGCUUCUUCCUCAUCGGCCAACAAUGCAGAAAAGCAGCGGACCAACGAAAAAGCGGUUAUCAAUUCGAAAACUCUUAUUAAGUCUCCUUUAAGUACGUCAACAAAUGAUGACGAGGAUUCAUCAAAGCUAAAGCUAAAAGAAAAGCCGGUGACCGGCGCGAGAAGCAUGAGGAGGAGCAGCAAAGGGCGGCCUAAUGUGAGCAAGCCAGAGCCUACUCCUAAUAGUAGCAACAACAAGAGCUCAAGCUCCCAGCAACCGGGUUCAAAGGAUAAAGGAGAUAAAGCAGAGGCAGCAAAAGGGGAUAAAAAGAAGUCUGAAGCAAUUGCCAGUACAAAAAAGAGUGGUGCUGCAGACUUCUUGAAGAGAAUGAAGAAGAACUCGCCCACCAAGGGAACGCUGGUAGAGGCCCUGAAGAGUUCACGGGAAAAUAAUAGUAAUAAAGGUGGUAGAAAAGAUCAGCCGAAGAAAAAGGUUGAUGAACGGAAAGAUGGGCCGGCGAGGCGAAGUGGCGGUGGCGGAGGUGGACGGAAACAUGUAAAGGAGGAGAGUAGUCCGUUGAAGAAGAACGCUGGGAGGCCACCUAAGAAAGGGAAAGAUGUGGUGGUAACCGGGGGCAAGCGUGGGAGGGAAGGCGGUGAAGGGGAAGGGUCCUCAAAACGGCCUAAGAAACGAUCGAGGUAGGUUAGGUUAGAUGGAAAAAGUUGCAGAAUUGAUGGUUUUGUAUAUUGUAGUAGCCAUUAGAUUUCACAAGUUAGUCUUGUCAUUAGGUUGGCUGUGCAUUUUGCUUCUUAGGUUUAUUGAUCUGUAGGAUGUAUCAUGUAAAAACGGUGUUUUUUUCGGCUGUAUAACCUUUUAUUUAUUCUUUUUUUUUUUGCCAGAAAAAAAAAGAACUCUUAUGUUAAUUAACAUAUAGAAGCUCUGAUUAAAGCUGAAUUUCGUGUUUAUUUAUUGGAGGGUAUUAGCACUAUAUUUCCACUUUACAUAUUUAAAUCUAUUUGUCUUGCCUUUUCUUCCUUCCUCUUUCUAUUCUCCAAAGUAAUUCUCCUUCCUCAAUUACAUGUAUUUAUUGUGAAGCCAAUUUUCUUCAACCAAUGAUGAUUAAAAAAAAAAAUCGGCAUCUGACCAGAAAUUUUGUCUUUUAUUUCCCUUGACCAGAAUGCAUUAGUUAAAAGUAAUUUUAUGGUAUUUUUUAUUUUACAACAUUACAUGCAUGUGCAAGUGGAAGGGAAUUUAGAUCACAGUUAAACCUUGAAAUGUGGCUCAAGUGAAAAGUUGUUCUAUUGCUUAAGCCAACUCUUACUGUUAAUUAAUUUUUUUUAAAAAAAAAGUUUUAAACAUGUCUACGGUGUACAGACAACAAAGAUUGAAGUAGAAAUACAACAUAUAGUGACGUAUUGUCAAUCAUGCAAUUACCAAGUCCAUUUUAUGUUUUUAUAGCUCCACCAUUUUUUUCGUGCAAUAAUUUUAGAAACUUUCCUAAGCUUUUUGACAAUUUCACUUAGCAUUCUUGAGAUUUCAAAAAUUAUACAUACUUCCGUCACUCAUUUGAAAUGACAACACUAGUCUUAAUAUUCUAAUAAAACUCCAUUGCUUACCAUGCUUAUACAAAGGAUGGGCUUUAUAAUUUUUCCCUUUCUCCUUCUUAUUUAUUUCUCUUUAUAAUUUCAUUGGAACAUCCAAAAAACUAUUACUAUUGUCCCUAACCUCUAUUCCGAUUAAACAUCCAACUAAUAAAUUUAUUUUUGGCCCCUUGCGAGUAGUCCGACUAGUUUCGUAACUUUGUAAUUAACAGCAGAUCUCGUGAUCAAUUCUUGUGUGCUACCUCGCUGUGUAUCAUUGGAGUAAGGUUCUAUACAGCCGUAGGGGGAUUAGUCUAAUCGCAAGGUUAGAAUAGCCCCAAGUGAAAAGAAAAAUAACUUUUUUUUUAAAAAUAAUUUUUAAUAUCACACAAUUUUUUUGUAUCAAAAUUAAAAUAAAUCAACAAUAACCUAAAAACAAAUGGUCUAAAAUCACUAUCAAACUAUACUAGUUCCACCAUUGUAAAAACUUUUUAAAAAAAUCAGGAUAGCACUUUCUUAUAUAUUUUAAAAAGAAUCUAUAUCCCCAAUAAAGUACUAUAAAAAGUAACCUAUUAUAACUAUAGAUUUAUUAUUAUAGUUAAUUAUCAAACAACAAAUAUUGGCAUGAAAAACUUGACACUCAUUUCUUUUGUAAUUGUGCCAAAUUACUUUACAAUUACUUAGAAGAACAAAUUAAACUUUAUAAGAUAAGGUUUAAGGUAUACAUUAAAAAUUUUGACCAUAUUUUAAGAUUUGAUUACCAAAAGUAUCAAAUCAAGAAAGAUAAGUGUAAUUUGUAAAGCUUUUGAAAGAGCUAAGUGAAAUAGUUAGAAACCUCAGGGAAGAUUUUCAAAAUUAUCACUUUUUUCAUAAGUUCUAGCUAAUUUACCUGUCCCAAGCAAGAGAACACAAGCUCCAAUCACUUUGGUAUGAGCAAGAAGGUUAGAGUUAAGAAACGCGAGUAUAUUACCUGGAAUGUGGGUACAAUGGAGGGAAUUAAACUGUGAGUAUUACAGUUGCAUACUUGGCAAGUUGGCAUAGCUAGACUAAGCCGUGCGUGACCUUUGUGGCAGUCGAAGUACCUAACUCAAUAUUUUGUAAUGUCAAACGAUAGAUGCAAUGUACUAAAGAGUUCAUUUGGUUCAAGGAAUGAUAUAUAAUUGGAUUCCUAAUUCUGCGUGAUCUCAUGUUUGAUUGCAUGUUAUAUCUCAUUCUCAUAUAAUCGAAUUAAUCCCCUGUACAGGCAAUAAAAUAAUUCUGUCGGAAGAGAUGGUACGAGUUUUAUUGAAAUGAGUAAGAGGUAGGAUAAUAACUGUUUGGACUUAUUUAUUCAUACUAUAGAUAAUGCUUUAUUCUAAUAACUUUGCAAACUUAGUCUCUUGCUAUAAUAUUAUCUAAAUUUUGGACUAAUUUGUUUUUCUUAAUAACAUAAAAAAAAUUUGAACAGAUUUACUCCUACUAGUAAAAAAUUGAAGUUAUUGGACUAACUUGCCCAUAUUAAUGAUAUGCUAUAAUUUUGGCCGGAUUUGUCCAUAGUAUUAACAAAACUAAAUCUUUUACUCGAGAAUAUUUACAAUCACAAAUUCCCCAUCGGCUUGUAAACCAACUGUACUCGAGAAUUUUCUUAUGAAACUGGAAUUUGUUGGGAAGGAGAACAGUUAGAAAAUCAAUUGAGGUUUAGUUCACAAGUAGGCGCACUUCAUUCAGUGGGAUAAAAAGAAAAAAGCAUUAAUAUCUAUUAGCCAAAGCAGACAUGGUGACAAGUCGCGGCAAGAAGAAGCAUCUAAACUUACCAUUUGAAACAGUUCUACACAAUUUUCCAGUAGUGAACUAAACAAAAACAAGCAAAAGAAGAUCAAAAUCUUUAUCUUUGAACAGGAAAAGUGAAAACGUUCAUUUUGAGUAAUUCUAAAGUAGUGUCCAUAGGAAAUCUUCAAUUGCAAAACUAGUCGUGGGAGUAAGUUGGAAGGUAAUGUACAAUAAAGUGCAUGCAUUGCAAACUACUUAAUUAAAAGUUCUGAUUCAACUUCAUUGUCUUAAACAAAUCAAAGUCAAUUUUAACAUGAUUCAACUAUGACUAUAUAUAUAUAUAUGUUAACCCUUCAUUUCGAUUUUUGACUGUCGCUGGGAAUUGUGUUUGUUUACCAGAUAGUGUAUGUCAUUUCCACAACCAUGUGCUUUAAAAAAAAACUUGAAGAACGAUGAAUGGUCAAUUCACCGUGGCUUCAGUGUCAAGUCUAAAAUGAAGAGCUGAGUUUAGCAUGUAGCGAACGGGGCCAACACUACUUUCUUCAGUCAGGUUCUCUGUUGUAACAAUAGUCUAGUCUCUUACCAAAAAAAAAAAAGUAUGGUCAAGCCAACAAUUAGCAUAACAUUUAUGCGUUCCAAAUAUUGGAGAUGCCCACAAACCUUGACUUGAGCGACGAAACCCAAGUCCCCAAAAUACAAAAGUACAGAAGCAACACAAUUCCCGGAUCCAGGCGUCUAAAACAGUGCACUUUUAACACAACCAUUCCAGGGGCAGCUUUGAAUUAAAAAAAAAAAAAAAAAAGGGGCUGCAAAAAUUUAGGCAAAGAAAUUACCCAGCUCUAGACAAAAAACCUUUUGUACACGAUUACGUGUCAGUAACAACUAUUAUAAUUUUACAUCAUCACUUGUCCGUGAUAAACUGUUAUCACCCAGCUACGAAUUAGCCUGUUUCUAAAUUACUGAAGGCCUACAAUAAUUCAAUUGCUAAGGCAAAUAAAUGGAAGACCACAUUAUACAACAGAGCUCCAGAUUUUAACUCGGCACUUCAUCACAAUCAACCCUCAUGGUACAGUCCUAUUUGUCUGAU